AGGUAGCAGCGGCGGAGCUCUCGCCCGCCUGUCCAAGGGGAAGAGGAACUCUGGCCAGGAGCUGGGGCGGGUCUGUGGCUGGGCGACGCGACGUCCGCAGUGAGGGGCUAGAGCGACGCUGUGUGCUUGCGGCGAGGGACUGGAGUGGCACAGCGUGCCCACGACGAGCGGCUGGUGCGGCACGCGACAGUUUUGGGUGGGCUGUUUGCGAUAGCUGUUGGAGAAGGAGAGAUUUAGGGUGUUAUCCAUUUCACUGUGCGUGACCUAUACCAUAUAAUGUGUAUUUGUUUUAGGUUUCUCCUCUUGGAGAUAGUCUUACAAAUACAUAAACUACUUGGUAGACGAGUCUAUAGAUUGACGUGUCAUUCAUGCCAAUAUAUAGGAGCAGAUACGGAUGAGUCUUUAUAAAUGCAUGAACAUCAUAAGUUCGCUCGUCACAGGCUGUUUGUUUGAGUUUAUUUAUCAAAUUUAUCAGUUAUUCAAUAGUGUUUUUUUCUCAUAAUAAAUUAACAAACAGUAUUUUUAAUCAUAAUUUUUCAGCCAAACGUAUAGUCUAAAUUCUCAAUCACAGUCUUAUAGAAUAUAUAUUUUCCAAAAGAUUUUGGACGGAAAAGUCAGCCACUCCUGUCCUAUCAAGCUAUAGCUUAUAUUAAUGUGCGGUGUACUAUAUUUAAUUUCUUAUUAAAAUAAUUGGUGGUGUCACUGAUUGAUUUGAUUUGACUGGGUAGCUAAAAAAAUUCAGUCGGAGACUGAGCCUUGUUUAGUUUUAAAAUUUUUGGACACCCUAAAAUUUUCGUUUAUAUUUAAUAAUUAUUGUCUAAUCAUAAACUAACUAGAUUUAAAAGAUUCAUCUCGUAAAUUACAAGUAAACUAUAUAAUUAAUUAUUUUUUAAUCUAUAUUUAAUACUAUAUGUAUGUGUUGCAAAGUUCGAUGUGACGGAUAAUUUGAUUUUUUUUUUUUACAAAUUCUCUUUUUUUAACUAAACAAGGCCAAGUAAGCAAGCAACCUGGCGGGCCUACGGACGGUCUACUUUAUCUGUGUGUGUGUGUAUGUAUGGAGGAGGGAAGGACACCCUCGGAGUCGGAGGUAGACGACGACCACCACCUCCACACACCAAAUAAUUAUUAUAUUGACAGAAAUGAGAAAGCCAAGGCAGCAAUCAAACACAAAUAUCUCAUCUUCCAGGACAGGACAGUUGGCUUUAGGUGUGGCGCGCCGAGGCCGAGCAGGCAGCUACUGCUACUGCUAGUAGAGGGGAGGGGAGGGAGGGAGUAGCAAACGGGCUGUGCGGGUGGCCAUGGACCCCACCGGCGGCGGCGGCGGCGGCGGCGACACCAUUCCCCUCCUCCUGACAUCCAACAAGCAGCAGCAGGAGGAGGACUCUCUCGCGGGCGUCUCCGACUACCUUGGGCGGCCCGUGCAGCGCGGAAGCUCCGGGGGAUGGAGAUCCGCGCUCUUCGUCGUGGGUACGUACCAAUCCAAUCCAAUCCAAUCCCUGGUUCAAUCGGCCGAUCCUGCCUAAUCCAAAUCCGGCACCGGCACAGGCGUUGAGAUCGCCGGGAGCUUCGCCUACUUCGGCAUCUCGGCGAACCUGAUCACGUACCUGACGGGCCCGUUGGGGCAGUCGAACGCGUCCGCCGCGGCCUCCGUCAACGCCUGGUCGGGCACGGCCUGCCUCAUGCCCCUGCUCGGCGCCUUCCUCGCCGACGCCUACCUGGGCCGAUACCGAUCCGUCAUCAUCGCCUGCACCCUCUACGUCCUGGUAAUUACCUUGUUAUAUGUUGCCUGCCCAUUUUUUUUUUUUUUGUUUUCUGCCUGCCUGCCUGCCUGCCCCCAAUUAAGCAUUCAUGAUCCUGAUCCCUCUGCUUCUCCUUUCUUCUUUCUUUCCCUCUUCUUUUUCUUUAAGCACGCACGUGGUAAUAAACAAAGAAAGAGGGGCUCGGGCCAGGUUUAGUUCUGAAUUUUUUUUAGCAUUUUCGUUUUAUUUAGUAAUUAAUAUCUAAUCAUAUAUUAAUUAAGUUUAAAAAAUUUACAUCGUAAUUUAUAUAUAAACUAUAUAAUUAUUUUUAAUUUUUAUCUAUAUUUAAUAUUUAACGUGAUGAUGAAAAGUUUUAAGGCGCGAAACUAAACACGGCCUCGGUCAAUAUCAUCUUUUGUUUUUCCUUUUUCUGUGGGUUUGUUUUACUCGUCAGGUUUUGUUUGGUUGUUGUCGGAUUCACUCCAAUCUAUGUGUAUUGGUAUGGUGUGGAUUGGAGUGAAAUUUAGUUGGCUCCAUUCCGUAUCCUCCACCGUGUCUAUCUCAUCAAUCAUUUUUUUUAAAGAAAAAAACAGAGAGCCGCCAGACCCAGGCUGCCGCCGCAACACCACAACCGACGCGGCGCUGACUGUACUGCUACGUAGCGUAUCUGCCGUAUGCUGCUACAGUGAAAAAACUAAUUUUUUAAAAAAUUCUCGUCACUUUGAAUCUUACGGUAUAGAGUAUUUAAAUAUAGAUAAAAACAAAAAACUAAUUAAACAAUUUAUCUGUAAAUUGUGAAAUAAAUCUUUUGAGUUUACUUAGUCUAUGAUUAAAUAAUAUUUACUAAAUAAAAAUGAAAUUGCUACUGUACCUAAAAACAAAAAAAAUUGGAAAGUAAACAUAGUUCACCCCAAAAAUCCAAAACUUUUUAAAAUUCUCCGUCACAUCGAAUCUUGCAGCACAUAUAUAAAGUAAAUAUAGAUGAAAACAAAAACUAAUUACACAGUUUGCAUAUAAAUCUCGAGACGAAUCUUUUGAGUUUAGUUAGUCUAUAGUUAGAUAAUAUUUACUAAAUAAAAAUGAAAUUGCUACUGUACCUAAAAACAAAAAAUUCUAGAAAAAAACAAGGCCUGAGUAUUUUAUUCUAAAACAAGUGUUUCCACUAUUGCGUGUCCACGUGCUAGGGAUUGCAACUUUUUGAGUAUAAAAAAAAUGGUUUUGCUAGCGCCCGGACGUUCGGCGCGUGAGUGUGUCCGGACGCCGGGCCUUCCCCCCGCUCGCCUCCCAUAUGGAAAAGAAAAAAGGAAAAAUAGAUAUGCUAAGCCGAUUCUAUCCGUCCCCACGACCCUUUUCUCCACUCAUCGUGCAAGACUUGCCCCGCCUCCUACGUGCACGAGAUCUACUUGCCUCCAACCUCGCCGCCUCUCUAAGCCGAUCCCGUCCGUCCCCGCGUCCCUUUCCUCCACUCCCCAUGCAACGACUCACCCUGCCUUCCACGUGCACAGGAUUUGCCCUCCACCAACCUCGCCGGCCCCCUGCACCUCCGAUCCGCCCAUCACCAGCUCACCCCUACACCCCGCCCAGCACCAGCUGCAACAACGAAAAAACAAGCUAUUGAAACAAUGAAAGAACAUAUGAUGCAACAAAGGGGAAAAACUGCUGCAACAAACAAAAAAUCUAUUGCAAUAUCGAAAGAACAUAUAAUGAAACAAAACAAUAAUAUGAACUGCAGCAUAAAAAAAUACUACUACAACAUUCAAACACAUUCAUUGCAACAUCAGGGGGGAUCUGCAGCAACAAUGAAAAAGAGCUAUUGCAACAUCUCAAACACUGCUACUGCAACAAUCAGAAAAAUGUCUGUUGCAACAAUAAAAAAAAAUACUAUUAUAACAUUUUCAAAUCAUUCGUUGCAACAUUGAAAAAGAACAAUUCCAACAACGACGAGAUAUGACUCCCAAGGGCUCGCCGAAACCCUAGCCACCGUCGCACACGUUACAUCCAGACCCAGAGAGUGGAGAAGGAGAACGAGGAUAAGGCCAAGCUCGGUCUAGAGGGAGGAGGAGGAAGAAGAAGAAGAAGGCUGAGAUCUAGGCGAGGACCUCACCUACCUCGUGGGGACAUGGGAAAGCCGCCGUCGUUGCCCUCCCUCUCCGGAUGCAUGGAGGCCGCGGCGAAAGAGAGAGAGCAACCGGGGUAGGUGCGGGCACUAGUAUGGGGGAAGAAGACGCCGGAGUGGUUGAGAGCUAUGCCACGGUGGAGGAGGAGAACGUCGGGGUUGGUGCGGGCACCAGGCACCAUCCCGGCCAGAGAGGUGCGCAUGCGGCGCAGGCGGGGAUGGCCGUGGAGUGGCUAAGUGCACAGUCGAGAUGUAGGGUAUCCGAGCGGGGGCGGCAUAGACGGCGCAAGCAAGUAGAGUCAUAGAGUGGGCGUACGAUGCGGGCUAGGUUCGUAAAUGAGUGUGGAUGAAGAUGAGCAGUUGGGUCCGUAGAUGAGUGAAUGAGGAUCGUCCGGACGAGAAACACAUAAGGGACGCCAGUAACAUAUCAUUAGCGUAAAAAAAAAAGUCUACAUGAUGCUCCAAUCCACACGCUGGUCUGUCUGUGUGGGUUGCCAGCCUGUCCCGUCCCGCCGCCUCGUUUGCCUGCUCAUCCUCAUCCAUCCACCAAACACCAAACCAGCAGAUGGACCAGUUCCUUGCGAUUUAAAUUGCAAAUGGACUGUCCCCUGCCUCUUUGACGUGUAUGGGUCCUUUCCUGUGUGUCUAGUCUGCCCUGCUGGCUGCUGCCUGCUGCUAGUGGAGUGGAUAACCGGGACCAAGCAAGCCACGGAGGGAUCAGGAUUCAGUGACUUUGCUUCAUGAAGUCACGGUGUAACUUUCCAUCCAUCUCACACCUCCGUUCAAGAUCCAACGACUCCAAAGCAAUUUUUUAGGGAAUGCUGGCGGCGGGAGCGCUCAGCUUGAGGCGGGAGUUUCCCUCGCGCGCUGGCCGUCCCACGCGCCGCUUCACUUUCCUGGCCGCGCGGUGCGCCGUCGGUCCUGCGGGGCGCGCGGUCCGCGCCCGCGCUGCCUCAGCUGCCUGGCCGCGCGACGCGGCGGCUGUCUCGCGCGCCGCCUCGUCUGCUGGCCGUGAACUGCAGUCUGCAUUGGUUUGAAAAGAGCACGCGUUCCUGCCAAACCUGAGUGUGUCUGCAUUGGUUUUUCUUAUAUUUAUUUAUAGUUGAUGAUAUCUAGUAAAUGUAAAAAGCUUCCUGCGGCAGCUAGUUAUAGCAGUGGGCAAAUUAGUUUCUAACCCUCAUAUUUCUACAAGCUAGGAGAGAUUCCCGAUAAAAAAGGAAAUCAUUGUUAUGAAGCUGGAGGCUCUUUUUUUAAACUGGUUUAUAAAAGGAAUAGAGAUGCUGAUGUUUCUUCUGAUUUUCUCUUGUUUGUAGGGCUUUCUUUGAACAAUAAUAUUUUUUGCAACAUUCGUGUCAUCUUCCUUGAACUUGAAGGCCACUUGGUAAUCUCGCUAUUCACGUACGAAUAGUGCUUCGUUACAAAUUACAAGGUGGUGGAAAGCAUCGAUAUAGUGAGGAGUACAUGUAUGAAGUAUGACUUUAAUGCCCGGGAAAGCACGAGAUUGAAGCGAACUGAUUGGUUAGAUUCCUUGUAGGACAUAUUUAGCCGGGUUUAAGUCCUCGACACAUGUGCAUCAGUGCAUGUGCUCGACAUUAAGCUUUUAGUAUGCGUGCGUAAUUCUCAAAAAAAGAAAAAAAAAUCCCAUGACCCCUCGGUAGCCAAUACAUGUAACACGUUAUGGAGAUUGGAGAUACCCAUUGAUUCGGCUAGAUUCUCAGAUUCAAGAAGUCCGAUUUUUUAGCACGGAACGUGUAGUCCCUCUCCAUCUAACGAACAAAAUUCAAUCCUGCUCCAACUGUUUUGUAGUACCAUUUUAGCUAACCGAGCAAUCUGAACAUGCCUGAAAGUUCAGUUUUCGUGUGGUAUAUCAUAUCAGUAACGGUUUCUGUGUCGGGCACUGGGCACGGCGAGCUGGCGGCCAUCGCGGGCACGACAUGCGGCGAGUGUGCAAGGCCGUCGUGGUCUCGUGGACAUGGGAUGCGGCGAGUGCACGCUGCCAUCAUGAUGGAGGGCGGCGUGGUGAACCUGCACGGCCGGCGCUGUGUGCGUGCACGGAGGGCGCCGUGGCGAGCGGCCGGCCGGCGUGGGCACACGGCAUGGCGAGCGGGUGGCCGUCGCGGACACGGGAUGCGGCGAGCGUGCGCGGCUGCUGUGAAGGUCUGCACAGCGAGUGGGGCGGCCGGCGCCGCGACAAGCGAACAGCGGAACGGGCUGCGCUCGCGCCACUGGCACUCAGGCGACAAGCAACGGACCGCAGCGUACGUGGACCAAGCCUACUCGUUGAAUGCUGGCUCGGGUCUUGGGCCAGCAGGAGACUAGGAGAUGCCGCGCCCGGGACAUGCUGCAGACUGCAGUUCACGGCCAGCAGACGAGGCGGCGCGCGAGACAGCCGCCGCGUCGCGCGGCCAGGCAGCUGAGGCAGCGCGGGCGCGGACCGCGCGCCCCGCAGGACCGACGGCGCACCGCGCGGCCAGGAAAGUGAAGCGGCGCGUGGGACGGCCAGCGCGCGAGGGAAACUCCCGCCUCAAGCUGAGCGCUCCCGCCGCCAGCAUUCCCUAAAAAAUUGCUUUGGAGUCGUUGGAUCUUGAACGGAGGUGUGAGAUGGAUGGAAAGUUACACCGUGACUUCAUGAAGCCUAAACCCUAAACCCUAAACCCUAUGGGUAUGGCAUGCUGACGCUGUGCAUGUUCAUGGUGGCAGGGGUAUGGCAUGCUGACGCUGUCGGCGACGGUGCCGGUGCUGCGGCCGUCGCACGUGCCCUGCAGGGAGGAGGAUGAUGGUGAUGGCGGCGUCUCGUGGUCGUGGUCGUCGGCUCAUUCAUGCCAUCAUCCCGGGCCCGGGUGGGCGCAGGUGGCCUUCUUCUACGUGUCGCUGUACCUGAUCGCCAUCGCGCAGGGCGCGGACAAGCCGUGCGGGCUGGCGUUCGCGGCGGACCAGUUCGACGCGGAGCACCAGGGGGAGCGCGCGUCGCGGGGGUCCCUCUUCAACUGGUGGUUCUUCUGCAUGGCCAUAGGCAUCUCCGUGUCCGUCUCCGUGGUGGGCUACAUCCAGGAGUACGUCGGGUGGGGGCUCGGCUUCGGCGUCCCCUGCGCCGUCGUGCUCUGCGCCUUCCUCGUCUUCCUGCUGGGCACCCCGACGUACCGCCUCUACGCCCCGACGCCGGAAGCCAAGUCCCCGUUCCGCCGCCUCGCACGCGGCAUGGGGGUGCCGGUGCCGGUGCCGGUGGCGCCGCACUCUGAGCAGCAGCAGCAGCAGCAAGACGCCGAGGCCGACGCCCGGUGCGUUCUGCGCCUGCUUCCCAUCUGGGCGUCCAGCCUUGCGUACGGCGUGGUGUACGCGCAGAUCAUGACGCUCUUCAACAAGCAGGGCCGCACCCUGGACCGGCGCAUCUCCGGCCUUGAGCUGCCACCGGCCGUGCUCCAGACGCUGGGCCCCGCCAGCAUCCUGCUGUCCGUGCCUGUCUACGACCGCGCGCUGGUGCCGGCGCUGCGGUGGGCCACGGGCAACCCGUCGGGGCUCACCAUGCUGCAGCGCGUGGGCGCCGGCAUGGCCACGUCGCUGGCGGGUGUGGUGGUGGCGGCGCUGGUGGAGGCGCGGCGGCUGGCGACGGCGCGGGAGCACGGCCUGGUGGACGACCCGUCGGCGACGGUGCCCAUGACCUGGGCGUGGAUCGUGCCGCAGUACGCCAUGAUGGGGGUGGCGGACGUGCUGGCGGUGGUGGGCCUGCAAGAGCUCUUCUACGACCAGAUGCCCGACGGCCUGCGCAGCCUGGGCCUCGCGCUCUACCUCAGCGUCAUGGGCAUCGGGGGAUUCAUCAGCAGCCUGCUCAUCUCUGUCAUCGACGGCGUCACCGGCACCGGCGGCGGGGACAGCUGGUUCGCCGACAACCUCAACCGUGCGCACCUCGAUUACUUCUACUGGCUGCUGGCGGGGCUCAGCGCCGUGGAGCUCGCGCUCUUCCUCUACUUCGCGCGCUCCCACGUCUACAAGCACAACUCCGGCAGCAGCAGCAGCAGCAGGCGGCUCUCCUCCUCCUCCUCCUCCUCCUCCUCCUCCUCCACGCUUGGGAAAGAGAAAUACUCCUCCUGCUAGCACUAGCACUAGUGGAGGGAUCGAUAGAUUCUCGAUCGGCACUAUUUUAUUACUCUUGUGUUGAUUGAUGACGAAAUUAGCCUUCUUCUGUUGUUGUAUACUGUACUUUGUUCUUGUAAACAAAAGCAAACUCAGUUGUCGGGGCAAAAAUGGACCCUAGUCAAAUUCAAAUUCAAAUCCACGUUCUCGCUUUGGAAGAGGUGGUGAUGACAGAUUAUUCCGAGGCCUUGAAUAGUUCACGAAAAGAAUAAUUUUUUUUUUGAUAUUAUAGCAUAUUCGUAACUAUAGCAAUUAGUGUCUAACUAUAAACUAAUUAGAUUUAAAAGAUUCGUCUCGCGACAUACAUGUAAAUUGCGCAAUUAGUUUUUUUUAAUCUACAUUUAAUACUCUAUGCAUGUGUCAAACAUUUAAUGUGAUGCGGUAAUUUUUUUUUGAGUCCUUGGGUGGAAACUAAACAUGACCUAUGUAUGAGUUGGAUUGUUUUUCUAUGCCAGACUAUAAUGAUGGAUGAAUGAUUGGUAUCAUCUAGAUGGAUGCAUUGUGUAUACAUAAUUAAUAAGAUGCAUGAUUUUUAGUGGAUUGUAUUGAAUUGAAUUCCAUCAGGUUGUGUGCGGUGGAGUUGUUGAUACUCCGCUCCGAUCCAACCAGAUGGCUUUCUUUUUUGUGUGUAAACAACCAGAUGGCUAAUAAGGGGGGUGUUUGGUUGAAGGUUUAAAAUUUCGUUUUAUUUAACAAUUAUAUGUUGCUCGUUCUCGCGUCAGGUCUGGUGGACCGUUCUCUCCGUCCUUGGAGCCGAUGCGUCCCCGGUUGGCGAUGUGACCAUUCUUGUAUGGUGGGACCGUUGGAGAGCGCGCUGGCACGGUGAACGUCAGAAAGGAGCCGACACCCUCUUCGCGUUAGUAGCAUGGGAGAUUUGGAAGGAGCGCAACGCCCGGUGCUUUCGUCACACAUCCUCCAACAUUACCCAGCUGCUGUCCAUCAUCAGGGCCAACGCCGAUCUCUGGAUCCAAGGAGGAGCCCGGCACCUCGGUUGUUUGAUUCGCGAGUAGUCCGCGUUCCUUGCGAGUGGGGGGGGGAGGAGAUUUGUACUGUACGAUGCUGUUAAACCACCCUCCACCCUUGCCGUCUGUACUCAGCGCCAAAGCGCACUUGUAAACACCCUUUCUACUUAAUACAAUGAUAUGCAAACCUUUUGCGUAUUCGAGAAAAAAAAAUAGACUAAUUAGUAUCCUCUAGCCAUGACAAUUAGUGGUUAAUUAUGACUCAAAGGAUUAAUCUCGUAAAUUAUAUUCUAGUUAUGUUUUUAGUUUUGUAAAUAUAUAUAUUUAGCACUUCAUGCAUACGUCCAAAUAUUUGAUAGGAAAAGAGUUAAAAAAAUCAUCCCGAACCAAACGGGACUUAAGCAAAGACAGCAAGCGAAGCAACAAAUCAGCGAUGGGACCAUGCAAAUUUCAUGUGUCAUCAUCUCAUCGAUUAGAUUAGAUAACUUGGCAAGACAAGGCAAGGCGCUUCUUGCUUGCUGCGGCUGCGGGCGGCCAAAGGUGUGGCAUCAAAAUUUGAUCCGCCCCAGGGAAACUUUCUAUACUCCCAUAAUUCUAUCCAUUGAUAAGCUUAAGCAAACAAGAUACGGAGUAAAUGUUAACAAGUGGUAAAAAGAAAAAAAAAAGAGGAACAUCUGGAUGAUAGCACUAGUAGAUCUGUUGAUGAUUUUUUUUUUUGACAACCUGUAGAUGGAUGUUAACACGGUUAUUACUUAUUACACACACUUCAUCAACUGAACCUAAGAGCAUAUCCGGACGGACACCUGCAACUGCAACCAUGGGGAACAUGCUCAAAUUUUUUUUUUUGGGUGAUGACAAUGCAGCUCAACAGAACGGAACGGAUAUCCAUAUCCAUCCUCCCCCUCGCCAAGCCAACUCUCUCCUCAGUCCUCCCCCUGGUUUGCCUGCCCUGUCUUGCCCAGUUGCCCAGUUGCCCCUGUCGGAAUCAGUCCAGGUUCAGGUCGGCAGUGGGCAGUGGUUCAGGUCGAGGCCUCGACGACGAAUCGCGCUGCGUCCCCUCCUCCCCGCCUGCUUCAUCAUGGAAGCCGACGUCCCCAUUGCCGCUGCUACCCCCAGGUCCGCAUCCGCACCAAUCCCCUUUCCCGAGCUCCCUUUGUUUUUCUCCUCUUCGCCGUCACCUGCCUGCUCAAAACCUGUCAAAGAUCCCUUCUUUCCUUGCAACUACUACUAGUUGUUCUCCCUUUAGUAGGAGUAUACCGUCUAGGUGCUCUCCCUUCAGUGCUCGAUUGAUCGAGAACGAACAAGGUAGGAUGAUCCUGCCAUGAUUGGGCACCGCCGCCCUAGCGAGGCGCGAUCCUUGUUCUGUCCUAACAUUGGGACAUUCUUGGCGAUUAGAGAUUUCUAACUCAUGACCAUAUCAUGUGAAUUGCUUCUUUCGUCAUAACUCAAUUUCCUAGGGUCUAGGCCUCUAGGGAAGACCACUGACCGGAUGUGUGCUUGUCUUGUUUCAUAACCACAAGCCGGGGAAGCUUCUCUCUGGAACUUACUUUUUUAAGAUUGGCUCUUUGCCAUGCCAAUUGUGGACAUUAAAACAGAACCAAUAGUUUUAGUUCCUUCUACUAAAUAAUAAAGGGUUCCCAAUAAUAAAUGUUACACAUCUCCAGCUUCUACUCACAAUUCCUGCCAGUUUUCACAUACUGUUAAGGAAUAAAGUUCCAAAAGGAUCACAGCAAUGUUGGUUUCAGUUGCCACGAAUGGUACCUGAUUUGUUGCUUUGUGAUCUGCAGGUACGGAGCAAGCCUAAGCCAAUAGCUGCACCCGGAGACACAGAUUUGGAGUAUUGAGCUGGCUCUCUGUUUUGUCGGUUGUGUGCUUCUACUUCAUAGAAAAGAGCUGCAUUUUCUUCUUAGUGCUUUGGAUGCUGGCCAGAUGAAGAGUAGUAGAUUUCUGUUCCUUUGUGCAAUGUUCUGUCUUAUGGCUCGGCUGGGAGCUGCCAAUGUCGUGCUAAUGGGGAAUAAUCUGACCCUGUCCUUCGAUGACAUUGAGGCGAGCUUUUGUAAGUCCUGCACUCCUUACAACCAUUUAAUCUUGUCAGGUCACCAGCUGCUACCAUCAGAUGCCACUUGAUUUAAAACAUUUUGUUUGCAUGGCUUGCGGAUGUGAUCAAUUUUGGUGUUAUGUUUGGUUUAUUAUUGGCUACACUGUGUACCUGCUAUUUUAUGGUGAUGUGUGAGUGCAUCACACUGCCUACUACUGUGCUCUCGUGGCUAGUUCUCUGACUAACAUUAAGCUUGGUUGUAUGCUUCUGAUGAUUGUGUAUGCUUAUUCCUUUUCACUUUCAUGAUUUUUCUUACUGAAGGAUUUAAACAUGCCUUUUUGAUUGUAUUGCAGCUCCAGGAGUGAAAGGGUCUGGAGUCAGUGGAGUAGUUUAUGCUUCUGAACCUUUGAAUGCCUGCAGCCCAUUAACAAUCAAAACAGUCAAUGGCCCUCCAUCUCCCUUUGCGUUAAUUAUAAGAGGCGGGUGCACAUUUGAUGAGAAAGUAAAAAAUGCACAGGAUGCUGGAUUCAAAGCUGCAAUCGUAUACGACAAUAAAAAUAGUGGGGUCCUGGUUUCAAGUAAUUUACCUUGUUACUCGCACUUGCUCCUUAUCCAUUGUUUUCUUAAUGCCACUUGCGUAGCUGCAUGAUGCCCUUUAUCUAUAGCACUGUGAAGUAGAAUAGAUGCCUUUUGCUAUCACCUCUCCAUGCUUACCCGUAGAUAGCUAUGCACUAACUAGAGACAAGAUUGGUGCACAAGCAAAUGCUCUUGCAAAAUGAGUCGAACGUUGAUAUUUAUGGUGACACAAUGCUCUAAAUACAACAAAAAUUAACUGAUAACUGGAUUCAAUUUCAUUCCACUAAUUUGUAUUGGCAAUUGAUCCUGUAUUACCUUCUCUGUCUAACUAGACAAAAAAUGUUACAGUGGCUGGAAGCUCAAGUGGCAUUCAUAUAUAUGCCGUGUUCGUUUCAAAGGCCUCGGGAGAGGUGUUGAAGAAAUUCUCAGGCAAUAUGGAUGUAGAGGUGUGGAUACUACCUACUUUUGAGAACUCAGCCUGGUCGAUCAUGGCAAUCUCAUUCGUAUCGCUACUUGCCAUGUGUGCUGUACUGGGUACGUGUUUCUUUGUGAGAAGGCAUCGAAUAAGGAGGGAGCACCCUAGAAUCGCAGAAGAUCGAGAAUUCCAUGGAAUGAGCAGUCAGUUAGUUAAGGCUAUUCCAAGUCUUAUUUUUACAAAAGUGCAAGAAGAUAACUGCACAUCUUCAAUGUGUGCCAUUUGCUUGGCAGACUACAAUGUCGGAGAAAAGCUAAGAGUGCUGCCUUGCCGUCACAGUAUGUUUGCUCCACUUCUAAUACCCUGUUUUUUUGGCAUACAUGCUACUACAGUAGCAUGAUUGUUUAGAACUCUAACUCGUCAAAUAGAUCUGCUGUACUGUAUCUUUCAGUGUUUGGAUUUGGGUGCAAGAUCUUUAUGAAACCCAACAAGAACUAGACAAACCAAAACAAAAUGCUAAAAUGUAACAAAAUUAUAUAUGCCAAAUUCAUUUAGACGCCUUAAUCUUACUGGUGUCUGGUGUGGGAGCGCGACACAUCCGGGUUAUAAUCAUUAGGUAUAGAGAGCAUUUCAGAUUUCACUUAUUUAUUACUGAAUGGAAGGCAAGUGUUUAGUUGUUUUUUGAUCCUUAGGCUUAGGCAUCGAGAGCAGUGCAAAUUUAAUUGAUAAGGGGAAAGACAAGUCAUUUAUAAAAUCAGUAAUGCAAUGUAAAGUAGCAAACUGAUAACUUGUCUUAUGCCUUGCAGAGUUUCAUGCAGCUUGUGUGGACUUGUGGCUGACUUCUUGGCGAACAUUCUGUCCUAUAUGCAAGAGAGAUGCAAGGAGUGGAGCAUCAGAAGUUGUUGCGACAGAGGCUACCCCCUUGCUUUCUUCUGCUGCUCGGUUACCUUCAUUCCGGUCGAGUGUGGCAGCAUCCCCUCCAAGGCCAAUAAGCCGGCAUCCUUCAUCGCACUCGGUUUCUCGUGCUUACUCUGUUUCUAGUACCCCCAAUUCUCCCAACCCCUUUAUAUCUUCUCACAUAAGCUCACCUGGCAUCCGUGCAAGCAGAAGCAUCACAGACCUUGGAAAUAUAUCAUCUCUCCAUCCUCGCAUCUCACAUUUGUCAUCGACGCACUCCCUGGUUGGCAGCCACUUGUCUCCACCAAUCAGUAUAAGGUAUUGGUCGUCCCAUGUGGCGCAUUCAGGGUAUGGAUCACCCAGUCCACACGUGAGUUCAUCCUACAUCUCCAAUUCUGGGUAUGGUUCUUCAAGCUACUGCUAUCUGGGACUGGGAGGCUCCAGCCACAGCCAGCAUGGGACAUACCUAAGGCGCUGUGGAGAAUCGGGGCCAAGCCUGUGUACCAUGGUGCCGCAGCAGUUGCAGUGGGAGACUAAUGUAGCAGCAGGUGCGUCGUCAGCAAAGUCCCUGCGGCAGUCCUCCUACCUGAGACACUGUGGCGAUUCAGACGCCAGUUUGUCUGACAUGACGUCAGCCCAGUCGUUGCCGAGGUGCUGAGGGGGCUCUGGAUUUGUGAUUUGUGCAUUACACAGUGAGGAGUGUGUGACAUAACAUUACUACAUUGGCUGUGGUGUGGAGAGAAACAUGCAUAGCAAUAGAACAUACACAUAGUAGCACAUAGUAGGGUUUUGUUCUCUUGUUUCUGAGAUGAGAUGUGUUCUUGUGCUCGCGAUGCGUACAUAUGGCAAGUAACAUGCAUGAGGGAAUAAUAUUUAUUUGGUUGUCGUAUGGAAUGGAAUGGAAGGUUGUAGGGUGAAUUUAAGUUUGGUUUGUUUGAUUUGGUCGGGAAAAUGAGUCGACCCCUUGACUUGAGAGAGAGAUGGCUGAUGCCCAAUGCAAGAACUCGUUUGCUGAUCGAUCAAGCCUGUUUUGGGCUUUUGGCAAAAGAGAGCCUGCUUUGCUUUAACCCUGUUUGCUACCAAGUCUAUGGCCUUGUUUAGUUCCGAAAAGAUUUCAGAUUUCGGCACUGUAGCAAUUUCGUUUGUUUGUGAUAAAUAUUAUUUAAUUAUGGACUAACUAGGAUCAAAAGAUUCGUCUCGCGAUUUUCAGCUAAACUGUGUAAUUAGUUUUUGCUUUCGUUUAUAUUUAAUGCUUCAUACAUGUGUCACAAGAUUCGAUGUGACGGGGAAUCUUGAAAACUUUUUGCUUUUCGGGGUCAACUAAACAAGGCGAUACUAUAGGGUGGUAGAGACAGAGAGGUUCUCCUUUUUGGUCCAUCUUGUCUCUUUUGGCUUUUUUUUUCUCUCAUCUCGUGCACCGCCACCGCAGCAGCAGUGGAAAAUUAAAGGUGAAAAAGGUGAGGAGGAGGCAUCGCCGCACAGGCACAGGCACAGGCCCAUGCGUGUGCUCUCAUUUUCAUUUCUCAUCAUCCCAAUCCCAACUCGGCCUUUCUAUGUGUACCAUGCUAUGCGCGCCGGCCAAAGGAAUCAAGGCGUGCUUGUUUCUUUCCAAACAUGCCACUAUCACUAUGCCAGGAUUCAUCAAGUUCAUUCAUAAUACUACCACCACUCUACAGUGGAGUAUCCGGCAGCUCAAAGAACCACUCUGAUGUCUUCGCCAUCAAAUGAAGUUGUUCAUCAUUCUUAUCUGUAUGUCACAAAGAACAUCAGUUAAUUCAGUGUCACAGAACAUCAGCAACCGAGUACUCCCUCCGUACCUUACUUAUCAGAACAUUCAUUAUUAGCAGCAUCAAAUCAAAUCAAAUCAAAUCAUGGCGUGUCAAUGCCUGGGAUUUGCAGCAUGCCGAAAAGAGAGCCUGUCCUGUUCAGUCUGCAUGUCUGUAAUUAACAUUAACCAUACCCAUCUCAUCCCUUAAGACAGACAUACAGUACAGGCUCUUUUCAGACUUUUGGCCCCCAGAACCAAGGAGUCAGAACCAAGCACCAUCGGACAAGAACCAGGGAAUCAGGGAUCCAAGUCACAGUCACCACCAAUUUCUACUAUUUUUUCAGUGAUCUCACCUCAUCCUCGCGGACGGGAUGAACCAUGAUGGGUUGCGGCCUUAGUUAGUUUGCGAAAAUUUUUAGUUUGACUACUCUAGCACUUUUAUUUGUAUUUGGUAAUUAUUAUUUAACCAUAAAUUAACUAGGCUUAAAAGACUUGUUUCGCAAAUUACAACUAAACUGUACAAUUAGUUAUUUUAUCUAUAUUUAGUACUUUAUGUAUGUACCACAAGAUUCGAUAUGAUAGAGAAUUUUAAAAAAAAAAUUAAAACUGAACAAGGUUGCAUUGGGUUCAGCAAGGGGUGUUUGGUUGAGGGUGGUAAAAUUUAAGAGACACUGUAGCAUUUUCAUUUUAUUUGAACUAAUUAGACUCAAAAGAUUCGUCUCGCAAAUUAUCCCCUAGAUGUUAUUUUAGUUUUGCAAAUAGUAUAUAUUUAAUACUUCAUGCAUGUGUCCAAACAUUCGAUGUAAUGAUGACAAAAAAAAAACUUGCAACCACAGGCCCUAUAGAGAAUUGAGGAUAUGUUGUUGUUGUGUCACUUCUCGGUCGCCUCCAUCACUUUCUAUUGGGCAGUCCCAAUGGUGGGCAUCUAAUGGUCUAAGUGCUAUGCUUAUAUAAUUGCAGAUGUAGGUGAUAUGGGUGUCAUGAUACGAGUAUCCCAUAGUCUUAACUUUGUAGGAGGAACCAUAUGCAAAUCCCAAAUAUCUAAAUGGAAGACCUGACCAUGUCCAUCCUCAACCAUGUGCUAUUGAGCCAUGUGAAGACAUGGAGGCUAAGCAUAUGUGAACCUAAGAUUUUUCCUUACACCAUGAGUUAAAUAUUUGGUCUCAAAUAGCCAAAUUCGUCCUAAAGAAGCCGGACUGUGACAAUCCUUGGCCACUCAAAGUUGUAUCUAUAUGUGAUUUUGUUGCGGCAUAGGUAGAAAGGAGGAGAGGAGGGGAGGAUAUACAAUAUAGAAGGAGGGAUGAUGAAGGUGCACAACUUGUCGUUGCCUAGUGGUAAGAAUGGCCUAGACGAAUUGAAGGUGGUUCCUUUAGUUGGGUCUAAACCUCCCCUUACCCUGAUUCAUUUGAAGCUCUAUUAUUGUCGUAGGUUGUCGCGCGGUCGACAAAUAAUGGUUGUAUUAUGAGGGCGGGGGCACUGAAAUGUUUAGCCAUGGAGGAUGAAAUAAUAAUGAUAACAUUAGAUGUGAUGGUAGUAAUGACACUUGAGAGUAAGAGUUGGUGGUGGUGAAGAGAGGAGAAUAUAAGAUGUUGGAUACUAGAAGAGUAGAAGAGACACAGGGAAGGAAAUUAACGUUGUUAUCUUUUAUCCUAUACCAUACCUAUUUAACUUGAUGAGUAAUAAAUACACUUAUCACCAUCAUAAAAGAUUAAUGACGAGUGUUUAUUUUCGAAAAAAUUUAUACAACGUGCUUGAGUCUCAACCACAAGCGAAAAGCAUAGCAACACAUGUCAACGUAUGGUUGGACUGUGUGCGUCUUCUUCCUCCUCUCGUUCAUCUCCCUAGCUCGUCGUGUUCUUCUUCUUCUUCUUCUUCCCAAUGAUCAGAGUCAGGAAAUUUGGGAGGGGUGGAGAGGUCUUCUAGGUGGUUCUCCAUACCCAACGAUCUUAGAAAGGAGAGAGGCCGACAGUGAAGGUGGUUUGAUGGGUGAUGAGCAAGGUGACGGAGGCACCACCCAAAGUGGGUAGUGUUUGGAUAUUUGGUGGGCACGGCAGGUGGCGGUGACAACUAACUACAAAAUAGUAGGGAAGAAUGGUGCUUUGACGACGAUAGUGGGACGUGGGGUGGUGAAGUCAUUGGCAGAAAGGGUGGUGACUAAAGUGGCGACGAUGGAGCAACAUAAUAUGAAAGGAAAGAGAAUGAAGAAUAUGAGGCUAUGACGCAAUGAUAGUAGGGCCUUGUUUACUUCCGAAAAGUGAAAAUUUUUCGGAACUGUAGCACUUUCGUUUGUUUGUGAUAAAUAUUAUCCAAUCAUAGACUAACUAGAAUCAAAAGAUCCGUCUCGUGAUUUACAGCUAAACAGUGUAAUUAGUUUUUGUUUUCAUCUAUAUUUAAUGUUUCAUGCAUGUGCCACAAAAUUCGAUGUGACAGGGAAUCUUGAAAACUUUUUGGUUUUUAUGAUGAGAGUUGAGACGAAGCUUGAGAAAAACGAAGAGCGUGGAUUGUAAAGUCAUACGUCACUCCUUUCCUAACACUUUAGGAAUAAGACCCCGUAACCUGAUUUAUAUAAUUUUUUUUAACAAAUAUUUAAACUAUAUUCAUCAAUUUUUGUAAUGUAUAUAAUACCAAACAAGAAGGGAAAAAAAUCUAAGUGCGACGAACACGAGAGGAAGUUGAACUAGUUGCUGAGCCGAAGAAGCAAAAAUCCUAUCAAUAUAGCCACAGAACGACAUUAUUGUCUUGCGCGUCCACCCCUGCGCUUUUCAGUAGCUUGGGUUUGGAUUCGGACUUCCUGAGCUCCGCCGAUUCCUUCCUCCUUCACCUCCUGUCCUCCCCCAGCCGCCGCCGCCGCCGCUGCCUCAUCUCAUCCCCAUCGCCCACCCCCCGCUCCGUCCCCCGGGGAUCGUCGAUGGCGGCGCCGGCGAUAUGGCAGCCGCAGGAGCAGGGGCUCCACGAGAUCUGCACCCUCCUGGAGGCGCACAUCUCCCCCAACUCCGACCAGGCCCGCAUCUGGCAGCAGCUGCAGCAGUACAGCCAGUUCCCCGACUUCAACAACUACCUAGUCUUCAUCCUGGCCCGCGGAGAGGUGAGCCUUCCUUUCCUCCUAGUGUCACCUUCACCUCAAUCGCUCGCUGGCUUAUUCCGAUCGCCACGCCGUCAGCAAAGCCUAGGGUUUUCUCCGAUGCUACUAGAGAUUUGAAGCUUGUUGUUUGACUCCAUAGACUCCUAGCCCUAGGUCGCCACUGGAGUUUAGCGCUUGGAUCGCACGUUCUAACCUCUAAUCCAAAUCGAUAUUGAUAUCCUGGUGUUUUAGUGGAAAUGAUAACGUACGUUGUGUGUAUGUGUACACAAAGGCGGAAAACAUGCGCUGGCAAUCAAGCUAAAAUUUCAGUGCCAACGUAAGGCUACCUAUAUAUGUAGCAUUUCAGUUUCAUUCGGUGGUAAUUUGAAUUGUCGUGUUGUGGCGUCGGAGGUUCAAGUAGGGCUUAGCCUACGUGGAUAUGUGCCGAUGCACAGUAAGAGAUGAGAGCUUGUUUCCAUGUUAAUCUUUUAUGUCUGUCCUACAUGCCGCUGCAUCAUCGCUUAUUGUGGUAAUGAUUUCUCAAAUUGCCCAGAAUAUUUAAACUGCAAAUCAUGUGACAUUUUUAAAAUCCUCGAGCAGUCAUGUGUGCAUGCCAAAAUCUUGCUCAGAUGGCUAGUUAUUUGGCCUACUUGAGUUCUAGUAGUGUUUGAGUGUCGAUCGGUGAUGCUCCCAUGGAGAUCUAAGUAACCACUGGAGGUGAGUGGCCGCUUGCUCCCACUAUCUAAAACAUUUUCCUUGUAACUUACUUAGAGAUACAGAUGACAGGAAAUAUCUAUACUUUUAUGCUUUGAGGGGUUGGAGGGAGACCACAGCAGAAACCAUAUGGUUGCGUUGGCGUGAUCUAAACUCUGGAAUGAUGACGAAAAAAAAACACAUUCAAAGUGACUGCUACUUACUUUAACUUUCUGCCCACGGUUUGUAUUUUGUUUAUUACCGAAUUUAGUUUCACGUGUGAUCGGCAAAAAUAAGAAACAGUGAUAAACAAUGAAUUGAAUCAAUGAGGGUGUCAAUUAAUCAUGGAGUUAAUGUGGGAUGAAAAUUGUGGAUUGUGUGCUUCCCUUGUGUUCUUUUCCACACUUAUUCGUUCUAAAACCUUUUCGACAUUGGGAUGUCUUUUACAGGUAGACAUGCAUGUAGAUGUAGUUCAUAAAUUAUCAAACUUGUUAUGGAGCAAAAUUCUCUUUUGAUGACUAUGCUUGUAGGUCCAGAUAUUUUUUCUUCGGCAUAUCUGACAUCUGGUGUUUGUACCAGGGGAAAUCUAUUGAAGUUAGACAGGCAGCUGGUCUACUACUGAAAAACAAUUUGCGAACGACUUUCAGUUCCAUGCCACCUCCGUUCCAGCAUUAUGUUAAGUCUGAGCUGUUACCAUGUAUAGGGGCAACCAAUAGGGCAAUUAGAUCCACAGUUGGAACAGUGAUCAGUGUACUUUUCCAAAUUGUACGAGUUGCUGGAUGGAUCGAGUUAUUUCAGGCACUCCAUAAGUGUUUGGAUAGUAAUGACCUGGAUCACAUGGAAGGUGCCAUGGAUGCGAUAUACAAGGUAAUGUGCACUCCUGUCAUACUAGGGGUUCCAUGCAUUAAACCAGCAUGAUGUAGUGUAUCUUACAAUUUGCGUUCUCAAAAUCUCUUUCUGAUGACAGAUCUGUGAGGAUGUCCCUGAAGAGCUCGAUGUUGAUGUUCCUGGUUUGUCUGAACGACCGAUCAAUGUGUUUAUGCCGAGAAUACUGCAGGUCUAUAUCCAACAUCCAGAAAUAGCCAAUUACAUACCUACGCGAUUGACACUUUGACAUCCUCUCUGUAAAUGGUCAUAUUUAUGUCUUCAUACACCAAUUGCCUAUAAUUCAGCUAUGCAUGCAUUUGUGGUAGCAUGUAGAUGCUUGAACAGUCUGAUUUAACAUAUUUAUGGGGUUUCAUUCUGAUACAUGCUGAUUUUCUUUUUCUUCCUUCAGUUUUUCCAGUCACCACAUCCAACUUUGAGAAAACUAUCGUUGGGUUGCGUAAAUCAGUACAUAGUAGUGAUGCCAUCGGUAAGAGUCCUAACCCCAUCUUCAGCUUAUCUUUCUCAACGCUCUUGACUCACUGUUAGAUUUUCACAGGCACUCUACAUGUCUAUGGAUCAGUACAUUCAGGGAUUAUUCAACCUUGCAAAGGAUGCUUCAGCAGAUGUUCGGAAACUGGUAUUCACCAUAGAUAAUUACUUAUCGUACUAACUUAUUUGUUAUAAUGAAAUUGCACAUUGUGGUGUGCUACUUAUUUGCAAGAGAAUAAGAUUCAAAUGCAUACAAAUGUAAUUAUUUCAUAAUUAAAGCAGGAUUUAUUUAUUUUCUAGGCUUAUAGCUGAUUUGUCAGCAAGCAAAAUGCCAGUAAUGAUUGUUCAAUGGAACAUAUCAACUUGCUAAUUUUCCUUGUUUAUUUGAUAGGUUUGUUCAGCCUGGGUUCAGCUCAUUGAAGUUCGCCCAUCAAUUCUGGAGGUGUGUUAUGUUUGCUGUCUAUUAGACUUUUUUCCUGCUCUCACCUAAUAUGUAUUAGUGAUGCAAUGUAACUAUGCUCCAAACUUCUCCAUUUUCCUAUUUUCCCACAAUUUUUCUGAUGAUGUACACAAUUUUUGCCUUGACUCGAAUUAGUUUGCCUUUGACAUACUGGAUCUGACAUUGGAUAUUGAAACUGCAGCCACAUCUUAAAAAUGUUACUGAAUUGAUCCUGCAAGCUAAUAAAGAUUCAGAUGAUGAAGUCGCCCUGGAAGCUUGCGAGUUCUGGUAUGUUUUCAGUGAGUGAGUGUAAUGAGGGCUGCACAAAGAAUGCACCAAUCCUUUAAAAAAAUAUAGAAUACCCCUAGUAAUAUAAAUUAACUAUCUGAAUCUGAGUUAUAUUGGUAGUACUAAUGGGGCACAUACUGUGAUGGACACUUUUACAACAAUUUAAUUAACUGUUGGUUCUAACUUAUGAAGUUCACAAAUUGUUUUUGCUCAAAUCCAAAACUAAGUCUGAAUAACUAACUAUAUUGCUAGGAAUCGGAAGCCUAUUAUUCUCACUUUUAAACUGUUAAAUAUUUCAGGUCUGCAUACUGUGAUGUGAGUAUGCCACCUGAAGGUUUACGGGAGUUCUUGCCACGCUUAAUCCCGGUAUAUGUCUUUCUUGUACUCCAAAUUAGUGCAGCUGUAUCCUUGGCGCUGGAUAUAAUUUCUUACAUUCCAAUUUUUUCCUAGACUUUGUUGUCGAACAUGGUAUAUGCGGAUGAUGAUGAGUCUCUUGAUGAUGCUGAGGUGUGGUAAACUUUUAAUAUCUUUCAUGUUUGAUCCAGUGGGUCAUCAGUGUCAAAUCUUAUUCUGAUAAAUAUUAUUUAUACAUUUUAUUUCAGGAAGAUGAAUCCUUUCCAGACAGGGACCAGGUUGGUUUUAUUCUUUUUGAGCAAUAUUCAUAACCAAUAAUGGCCUAAUUUUAUGAAUGGCUCCAUCUGUGGCCAUCCAUCGUAGCGGUUAGUCCUGCGUCGGCAGAAUGAAGUGAUCACAUUAUAGCUUUAGCUCAUUUCAGGACUAUCAGUGAGAUCUAAUUUUUGGGCGGGGGUGGAUUGGUGCAUCAGCAAUGCAUUGACCAAGCUGAUUCUAUUUCAGGAUUUCUUUUUUGUUUUGCUGUAUUUUACCUAAUAACUGUUGGCUAGCUUUGUCACUCAUGCGUGUAUCACCACACCUCUCACUCACACACACAUGCUGGAGGUUGAAGUAGAGGAGGUCAGAGCACGCACACACAUGAACAUACAUGCGUGAAUGAGCUGCUGAACUACUCUGGCUGCAGCUAGCCACUUCCUUCAUAUAGAAGCAAAGAUUACUGAAGUCAAACUAAGGGCCAUACUGAUACUGCCCACUAAUUACUGUAGCCAUAUUAUGUACUAUAUGUCACUAUAGCCAUACACCCAACUACUGCUGUCCCAUUGACAGGAAAGGGAGAGAGCAGUCACUAUUCCUAUGCUCCUGUGACAAAAGAAAGAUGUGAGAGCAGUAGAUUAUCUAACAACAACAGGAAAGCUUAACCUUGCAGCCGUAUACUACUGAAUUGUAGACACACAUUGCAUAUUGCAGCUUUGUCUGUAGUUAAUUCUUUUGGAAGUCAGUUAACACUAGCAAUAUAAAGAAUAAUGUGAGCCUCUUCCAACAUUUAUGUACACAAUGUGUAACAGGAUUUGAAGCCCCGCUUCCAUGCCUCUCGAUUGCAUGGAUCAGAAACUGGAGAUGACGAUGUGAGUUUAGAAUUUGUUUUUGUUAAGCCAUUUGGUUUUGAUGGCUUUUGCCAUCCCUUUACUACCUCAUCUAUGUAAAGUGUUCAAAAAAUUACUGGUGAUUCGAACAGGAUGAUGAUGCUGUAAAUGUCUGGAACCUGCGGAAGUGUAGUGCUGCUGGGUUGGAUGUUCUCUCUAAUGUGUUUGGUGACAGCAUCCUUCCAACUUUAAUGCCAUUGAUUGAGGUAACUUGUACUUCUGAUAGUUUAGUAGUGGUGCUUUUUGUUGAAAAAGUUUCUCAAAUGGCCUGAACUCUAGCUUUUGCAUGUCUCAUGGAAAAGCAUUGUGGGUUUAUGAUUUCCUUAUUAUAGCCCUAUUGUUCAGGCUCUGUGUUUAGUUGAAAACAAUGUGUAACUCCUCAAUAGGCACUGAAAAUUGUUAUUGUUAGUACUAGUCGAAUAGCAUGACUUGAAAAAACCCUAAAAGCCAUUCCUGAAGUUGCGUAGUCAUCAAAAGUGCAAAAGUAAUUCAUAAUGUAAAACUAUUAUUGCAAGGUUUCUUCAGAACAUAUUUCCUGAUUAUUUAUGGUUGGAUCUGUCCAAGUGUAUAUGCCUUUUGGCUGCCUUUGUGUUACUGUUAGUAUGUGCUGCUCUUAACCUUUCAUCUUUUGGUUAAAUAUAAUCUGCAGCAAAACUUGGCCCGAACAGAUGAUGAUUCUUGGAAGGAGAGGGAAACUGCUGUUUUGUGUCUAGGCGCUAUAGCAGAGGGGUGCAUUAGUGGUCUAUACCCGCACCUUCCUCAGGUAAUUUUAAUGAGUAAUGGAUAAUUGUGGCUAUGUUCAUAUGCGCUGCAAGAAUAGUAGUCAAAUAUAUUUUCUUUUCUAUAAAUGAUUAAAUAUCUCAUUGUGGUAGAUGAGUAUGUGCUAAAUCUUCUUUAUACCACCAUAAAUGCUAGUAUUACAUUUUUUAUAUGCAGCUCUAUAGACUUAAUGCUUGAUUAUGGUACGAAUCCUCGAGAACAUAGCUAUAAGAUUGCUACAAUAUGUGGCGAUUUUAAAAUGCCUAUUGCAGGAGCAUUCUAUUGUUGCAAUCAUAGUAUUUACCAGAUAAAUCAAAACUCAAUAUUCGUUAUUAUUAUCACUCAACUAUUUUUAUUAGAUUUGUUGUCCUCUCUGCAAUUGUGGGUUAUUGUGAUUUUUCUUAUUCUCUAUACUGUACCACAAUGCAUCUUGCUGUAUAUGUUGUACGUUUUAUAAGAUAUCUUCAUUGAAAUGCAGAUUGUUGCCUUCCUAAUCCCCCUUCUUGAUGAUAAAUUUCCUCUUAUACGGAGUAUUACAUGCUGGACGCUCUCUCGAUACAGCAAAUUCAUUGUUCAGGUAACAUAGCACAUUUGUUCCCUGAUAUUAUUCUUAUUCCUUCCAUUCUAGGGUUUCAGCGGAAGCUCAUUACGUUCAAAUCAUGUUUUAGGAAUGUUGAGUUGACAUUUAUGCAUCAUCUUUGGAGAAGUGUCACUUUUGCAUUUUUAAAUUUGUACAUUAUGGUUCUUAGAGAACUGUAUAUUCUUGUCUCCGAUGCAGAGCCUUGAUCAUCCAAAUGGACGUGAACAAUUUGAUAAGAUUCUCAUGGGAUUGCUCAGAAGGAUAUUGGAUACUAACAAAAGAGUGCAAGAGGCUGCUUGUUCGGCGUUUGCUACUCUUGAAGAGGUUAUUGACAUAUUUUAGUAUCCUUUCCUGUUUUUAGGGAAUUGCGUAAGAAUUAUUAUUAUGCAUGCAAGUAACUUUGCAGAUCCUCAUCUGUACAUAUUGGUUCUCUGUUUUCAGGAAGCUUCCGAAGAAUUAGUACCCCACCUGGAAGUAAUUUUGCAGCACCUCAUGUGUGCCUAUGGAAAAUACCAGGUUCUUCGAAAUAUAAAUAAUCUUAUUUUGUCCUUGCACUGAUUGUUGUCAAGCACUUCUAUGUCAGCUCUCACAUUCUUAUUUCUAGUUUUAUGUGCUGCUUCUGAGCAGAGACGAAAUCUCCGGAUACUUUAUGACGCCCUUGGUACCCUGGCUGAUGCUGUUGGAGCAGAAUUAAAUCAGGUGCUAACAUUUUCUCAAACCUUUCACUGGUUUCUUCUGUAUAUCGUGAAAAAUCAUUUCGGUUCUUUCAGAGUCCAGACUCCUUGAUGCUUGAUCCCAUGUUCUCUUGUGAAGAUACUAAUUCUUCUAAGUUGCUGUGCAGGCGAAAUAUCUAGAUAUAUUUAUGCCACCUUUAAUCACGAAGUGGCAGCAACUUUCCAACUCUGACAAAGAUCUAUUUCCACUCCUUGAAUGCUUUACAUCUGUUGCACAGGUACUGUGGUUUUAAUAUGCGGAAACCAUCUAUGUAGUUCUUAUCUUACCUGGAAAUAAUCUAUUGCAACGGUUUGGAGUAGAGCUGCUUUUAGUUACCUAUUGUGGUUCGAAACUAGAAGAAUGUGAAUAAUUGGAAGACUUUCUACGGUUUUGGAUUUUUUUUUCCUGAGCUGUUCCUCAUACAAUAUUGGGAUUUCAAUGUUAUGUUGAAUCUUCAGGCAUUGGGACCAGGAUUUGCUCAGUUUGCGGAACCAGUGUUUCAAAGGUGCAUCAAUCUUAUCCAAUCGCAACAGUUGGCAAAGGUCUGUCUACUCUUUGCCUUCUAUAACAUAUUUGAAUUUGAGUCAUGUUCUCUGAAUCGCUCAUCUCAUCCAAGUAUGCUACUUUUUCAUGCAAAGUGCAGCGUCACAGUUAUUUGUUUUUUGUCAGACCUGAUCAGUGAUUUUUCCUUUUUCCUUUUUAUUUCAACCACAGUUCUAUUGUACAACCAUACUAGCACAAUGAUGUACUCACUGCUAAUACCAAAUUUCUAUAAAGAAUGAGACCAUCUAGUUGGUAACUAAAUGAUUGGUUAACAUUGACUGCUCAAUCUUGAUUAUCAUGUCAGAGACAUCAAAUUGGAGCUGUCCAAUCGUGCAAAACACACAUUAUUCUAGCUGUUUCACAGAAUUGGUGAAACUUAUAUUAUAUAAUAUGUCAUGGUUCAUGGAAGAAAUUAGAUGUUCACCUUAGUGGUUACGUGGCCUGUGAGCUGUUUCUAUGUAUUUCGGUCACUUGUAAGCACAGAAAUCGUCCUCCAACAUCGUAAUGUGCUUUCUGUGUACCAUGGAUCUUGGUCAUCUGAAAAAACAAUAAAUAUGAUAAGCUACAAGGUCAAAUCACAUAUAUGACUCAUACUUUCUUUUCCUUUAUGAUUUCCCUCCAAUGUGCAGAUUGAUCCUACUGCAGCUGGUGCAGUGUAUGAUAGAGAAUUCAUUGUUUGUUCGUUGGACCUACUGUCAGGACUUGCAGAAGGUCUUGGUGCUGGUAUUGAAAGUCUUGUAAGUUAUUCUCUUUGGAUAUGAUAUCCUUUUCCCUUCCAAGUACAUUUUAGACACGAUCACAUGAACACACCACUCACAUACCCACAUGGGUGCGUCAGGGGUAGGAUUAAAUUAUUUAGUCAUUGGGUUCAAUCAUACUAUCAUAUUGGGGCCAUGCUGUAAUAUGUACUUGGAGGAGGAAUUCGCUAUUCUUAAAGCAGAACUAUAGUGGAUUAAUCAAAAGUCAUCGGGGCCAGCUGGCUCUGAUGGAAGCACGUAGCUCCGCUCCCGGGGUCUGUCCUAGCGCACAUCUAAACUAGGGAGGGCUACCCAGAAUGGACCCACAUGCACACGCUGGGUCCUGAGGAAUGGUGAGCCCUAAGAUCUGAGUGCGCUCGAUCCUAAACAACUGACGACACUUGGUUCUCUUUCAGUAGCAUCCGUUGCUUUUGCUGUAUACACAUAAAUCUCUUUUAUUCAAUUUGAAUUUGAACUUGUUAAUGUCAGACAAUACAUUGAUUGUCCCAAUAUCUACUGUAUUGUUUACAGAAGUUAUCAGUUCUAUUACAUGGGGCUGUACCAUGUGUGCUGAGUAGAUUGUCAAGUUGGUAAUUUUGCUGGGUAGCUGAGUUUAGGCAUUUUGUCUAUUUAGCAUGUAUCCUGGAUGAAUGUUAGGUGUGACUCCUUAGGUUUGAGAUCUCACUUGUCACCAGGAUGGUUGGAUAUGCUUUUCUUUUCCAUCUGGAAAGAGUUAGUUCCACUUGUUAUGUUGGCUUUACUGAUUACUGUCAUAUAGCAAAGUUUGAGUUUAUUAAAACUAAGUGCUGAUGCUUGACCAUGAUGCUUUGUGCGGUAAUGAUAUUGGAUUAAAACCAGAGCACAAGUAUGAGAUCAAUUGUUUGUGAGAGUAAAUUGAGCCAAAAUUAUGUUUAGGGGGUUAAUUAUACAAAGUGGAUUGUUCAAGGUUGUAAAGUGGGCUUUUUUCAUCUAUCUAUACCUAGUAUCGUAUUAAAGUACGAUAAUUCCUCUCAAUCUGUCUAUCCGUCCCUUGGUCCGCCAUCUCUUUUACUUUUCUAGCCUUGAGUUUGGCCUUGCAAAGCCUUUGGCACACCAUCUCAUGGCCUGGCUGCCCGAGCCUGUGUGCGUUGUGGCACACCUAUGGGCAUGUGAUUCGCCUUUCACCUUUCUUAAACUCAGAGCAGGUGCACACAAUAGCCACCCAUUUAAGUUGAGCGCUGAACCUCCCUAGGGCCAGCAUAGUAUCCAUGCGCAAUUCUGUUCAGGUGAACAGUGCACGUGUGCUCCUGUUCACAAUGGGCUCAGGGUGGGUAUGUUUCUCAUUUGUUGGUUAGAGAUUAGAUUAGAUCAGAUUGCAUUGUUUAGUAUUUCCUUAAUCUAAGAGAGGUUUAUUAAAGGUCAAGUCUUCCCAUCUCAUUAAUUAAGCAAGAAAUAUAUUGAAGUUCCUAGUUAUCUCCAUGCCCUUAUGGUUGGUCACAGUAUUGGGGUUUAGAGCCAAGUAAAGUAUGGCCAUGACAUCUACACUUUUGUGAAGGGCAAUUACUGCUUUUCCUUUGUUUGCUGAUUAUACUUAAAAUUUUAGUACCAAAUAUGCAGAAGUUUUGAUGUGCCAUCUUUAUUUUGUUGUAGGUUGCACAGAGCAGUUUGAGAGAUCUACUUUUGCAAUGCUGCAUGGAUGAAGCAGCCGAUGUUCGACAAAGUGCCCUUGCCCUUCUUGGAGACCUUUCUAGGGUUGACUGCAUACCACCAUAGUUCAUAUUAUCUUGAGAUAAUUUUCACACUACAAAAAAAUUAACACUCUUUGCUGUACUAGGUUUGCCCAAUACAUUUGCAUCCACGGCUUCAAGAAUUUCUUACUGUUGCAGCAAAGCAACUGGUAAGCAUAUUCUGUGCGGUCUAUAUGUUGUUAUCAUAAUUAUCUUGAUCCAUUUCUCACUCAUAACUUUGCUGCAGAAUCCUCAGUCUGUGAAGGAUGCGGUAUCAGUAGCUAACAAUGCCUGUUGGGCUAUCGGAGAAUUAGCAAUCAAGGUUAGUGCCUACUUUUAUACAAUCUGGUUUAACUCAAUGCUGAAUUCUUUUGCAAUCCAUAAAAUACCUUUUUGUUUGUUUUGAUGCUGUUAAAGUUCAAACUGUUUGGCAUGGGUUUCCUCUUGGUAUAUGUCACUUAUAAAGUUGCAGUGCACCAGCCCCACCAGAGAGCUUAUUUCUUUGACAUAUCAGUACUGAUUGGUAUUUAUGAAGUUUCGUACACGUGUGACUGAUUUUAUUUGUUUCCAGAUUGGCAAAGAAAUUUCACCCGUGGUGAUCACUGUUGUUUCUUGCUUGGUUCCCAUUCUAAAAUCCCCAGAGGUGAGUGAUUUUUAAGGUUUCUUGCGUCACAGUUCAUUUAAGAAUUUAACUAAAUGGCUACUUUUUUUUUCCUCCACAUCCACAGGGUUUGAACAAGUCACUUAUUGAAAAUAGUGCGAUCACUCUUGGGAGGCUUAGCUGGGUCUGUCCAGACAUUGUGGCCCCUCAUAUGGAGCAUUUCAUGCAAGCAUGGUGCAGUGCCUUGUGCAUGUAGGUGUCCCUUUUCUUGAGUCUUUAAACACAUCCAAUGGGUUAGAGAAGGAAGGAUGGUUUUCAGGUGUUUCCUCUAUGGUUUGUUGCAUGAUGAAUGGAACUUGUUUCUUUGGUGUGAUCCAGGAUCAGAGACGAUUUUGAGAAAGAGGACGCUUUUCAUGGACUGUGUGCAAUGGUAUAUCCAGACCUCCUGGUUAUGGCUGCAUUCUUGCUAUCUGGGUGAUUUUCUUCUGAAAUCUUAUUUGGCUACACCAGGUGGCAGCAAACCCUACAGGAGCGGCUGGUUCAUUAGCUUACAUCUGUCAGGCCUGUGCAAGUUGGACUGUGAGUUGUGAUUCCUAUUAGAUCGAGGAGUUUCUUUGAGGUUCACCUAUAGCCCUAUUGAAUUCAAUGCACUCUCUUUUGAUUUGUGUACAGGAGAUAAAAAGUGAAGGUCUUCACAAUGAGGUGUGCCAGAUUCUGAAUGGCUACAAGCAGGUAAGCUGGCCUCUUUGCCCUCCUUUGCGUUUGCAUUAUGUGAUGACAAGGAUGAUAAAUUAACGGUGGUAAACUGUUUUCUUUUGUCUAGCUGCUUGGAAACGGUGGGUGGGAACAAUGCAUGGCCACCCUGCAACCAGAUGUUGUGCAGAAAUUAGCUAGAUACGGAGUAUGAUGGCAGUCGAGAAGCAAGCUCGUGUGGCUUAUUCACCUCAUAGGCCAUCUUUAUGGCGGAGACACAGAGAGGAGCAGAAAGGGAUAUGAGAAUGUCUGUCUGUCUGUGAGGGGUCGUCGAGAGUGUGGGCUGCUGAUGCAUCUUACAAAUGUGGCACUUGAGAAUCGAUUUGGUUCGUUGGGUGGUUUGUUGGUACCCCAUUGUAUACUGGUCAGCUAGUUGGUGCACAGCACAGCCCCAACGGGAGUGAGUGAGGUGGACAAGACAUAUAGUGGUAAAAAGGCAACGGGAUGGUGAGAAUGUUUGUCAAUCUGUAUUGGUUGGUUGGGUCAGUGGACUUGGUUUUGUUUUUGUCAUUCCACUGGCAAACAAACCCACCCUAUUGAGAAAACAGAAAGGUUUUGUAGCGUGUUAUUCUUUUUUAUUUUAUUUUAUUUUGGUUCAUUACUAGGUGUAGGAUCGUUUUCGAGUCUUGUUUGACAGGAAGGGUUUGUAUGAAAUCAAUUCAUUGCCCAAUAAUAAAAAGAUUGAUGGGGUUUGUUUCUCCUGCGACUGCACUGCGUUUCUCCCAUUGGUUUUUGCUAGUACUCCCUUUGUCUUGAAAUAAAUAAACGUAUUCGUGUGGAUCAAAUUUUUUAAAUUUGAUUAGUUUUUUUUAGAAAAUAUUAUUAAUAUUAAUAUAUCUGAUAAUACUAAUUAUAUAUCAUAAAAUACUAAUAUUUUAUUGUAUAUAUUUGGUUAAACUUAAAAGCGAUUGCUUAUUUUGGGAAGGAGGGAAUACAUUAUAAAUCGAUCAAUGUUGCUGUUUAAUUGGCAACAGCUUGAGUAUGAGGUUUGCUUGUUUCUCAGUUGGCAUGAACGUAUGUAUCGGAAAUGCGCUUGAGUUUUGUUACAAAGAUGCACAGACACAAAAACAAUGGCAGUGAGAGCAGAUGCCCUGGUGGCACUGCCACACGACGGCACGAAAACGGAAUGGAGGGCCUGGACUCACUGGGCCGAAUGGAAAUGAAAUCCCCCUCCCCCCCCCCCCCCGCAGAACCUUAUCGGCUUAUCACCCCCGUCGACUCGACUCCGAGCAGAGAGAGAGAGAGAGAAACAGAGAAGAAAGACAGGAUGCUGCUGCCGAGCUCCCCCUUCGUGUCCGUGUCCGUGUCGCCGUCGCCGCCGCAGUUCUCCUUCUCCCAGCCUUGCUAUGGCGCUCGCCCCGCGGCUCUGCGGAUCGAGGCGGCCAGGCAGCUGACGGGGCGGGUGGUGACGACCAAGGCGGACAAGACGGUGGGGGUGGAGGUGGUGCGCCUGGCGCCGCACCCCAAGUACAAGCGCCGGGAGCGCAUCAAGAAGAAGUACCAGGCGCACGACCCCGAUAACCAGUUCAAGGUCGGCGACGUCGUCGAGCUCCGCCCCUCCCGUCCCAUCUCCAAGACCAAGCACUUCCUCGCCAUCCCGCUCCCACCCCGCGACACCCGCCGCAAGUCCCAGCUCCUCCCGCCGCUCCAGUCCCAGUCCCAGGCCGGCGACGACGACGACCAGGCGCCGCCGCCCUCGCCCUCCUCCGAGUGAUUGAUUACUGCCGCCCGCCUAUGCAUUGGAUUGGAUUGGCUAGCUAGCUUAUUGUAAUGCCGUCGUAUCGUAUCAGCUCCUCUCCUCUCAAUCAAACGUCCAAUGCUUUGUUUAUUUGCUGCUUCCCAAUUCCAGUGCUCCUCCUAUUAUAUGAUCCAUGCCCAGAGAUGUCAACUUAGUUUGUCUGCAAAUUUUCUGUAAUACAAAGGAUUUCCUUUCAUUUUCAUUUCUUUGCAAUGCCAAGAUGGAUAUGUUCCGUUCCGCUUUAUCAGUCGUCUGGCGCUUUGAUGCUCGACGAACAAUGAGUCGAUUGUGUCAAAAGUUAUGAAACCUAAUGCAACCAUCACUCUUGGAAUUGUUUUUUUUAUCAAACAGUAAAACAUUUUUUUCCUAAAAAAAUUGUGUAUCAUAAUGAUUAAGAAAAAUAGUUUAACCGUAUGAACGAUACUCUUCGAAUGAUCGUGCUAGGUGAUGUUACAAAUAUGACUGGAUCUUUGAUAUUAUAUAGAUAGUAAAUAACUGAACUAAUAGUACCGUAACAACCUAGAGAGCUAGGCGUCUCUGCCGUUGGCUGCACGACACUCCUCCGCUAUCCAAGAAGAGCGCUCUUCUACAAAAGGAUUACUACUUAAUAUCGCUUAUAAACAACAUGUCAAAAGAUCUUUCAAUCGUUUCAGCACAAAACCAUUGGGCUCCAAUGACUCUUUCCCCCUCUUUCUUUGAUGCUCAACUUUCUCCUAUGUCUCUUCUCCUCUAUCCACGCUUCCUCUCCCCUCUCUCCAUACACCUCCCUUCUCGCCUCCCCUUUACCAAUUCUUCUAAUUCGCCUCUUCCUCUCCCCUCUCCUCCUCACCCUCCCACUCUUGGUUGAAACGAUGGAUCAACUAAGUAGACAACAACAUGGUCCCAUUUUAUGUAUAUUGCUUUGGAUGAUGACAUCCUUCACUAAGCGUGGCGGAUUUAAGUUGUUCGUGACGGCCAAUUAUGUCACUUAGUUUUUUUUGCCUCGAAGCUACAUGAGUGGUCUGUUUUACGGCUCCUGCUCAUAAAUUGGGCUUGCUGACUGGCACCUGUAGAAGGGUUUGGUAGAGGGGCCACGGUGUCUUUGAAAGUGGCAAACAUACAAAACAUGUGUUUAGCAGCUAGUGGUCCUAAGUAAUUCUAGAAAUUGUUGCAGCAAUCAAAAUAUCUAACAACCUAUUUGGAAGACUCUAAUCAACAAAAAAUAUGGUGGUAUUUCUAUUUUCUAAAAAAAUAGCUGUUGCAACAGAGGUUCUGAGCAUGUUAGAGAGGAAAAGGUUGAGUAGAGAAGGUUAAACCGUGUUGAGAGAUCCAAACUAGCGUUUGGGAGCAAGUGGAGAAGGUCAGACGGUGGAGAGAGAUUCAAACUAGAAUUUGGUCGCAAGCGCCAAUGAGUGUGUGUGUCAAAAUGGCAACGGGUACGUACCCAAUGGUACUAGCCACCCAUAUCCGCACCCACCAAGUCAAAACCUAUUCCAUCGGGUAACCCGCGAAAGCAGACGGGUAAGGAAUUCAUUCUAUACCCGCACCCGACGGGUAUUCCACACUAAAAAAUAUACCCGAGUUCAACAGAAAUAUAACAACUUUCAGCAAGUUAAAUAUCACAACUUUCAGGAAAUUAAACAUAACAACUUCCAGCAAAUUAAUAGCAGCACUAGUAGCACACCAGCCGCUCAAUACUUCCCACGUUUAGCGGUGCCUGGUGGAAAUUUCAUGGGUUAUAUGGGCUAAAUUACUUAGGCUUCUUACCCAUUUUGCAGAUAUUUCUUACCCACGGGUACGCGGGUAUGGGUACUACUAUUCCACACCCGUACCCGCCAUACCUGAUGGGUAAAGGAUUUCAUCCAAUAACGUACCCGCGGGUACAAAAUCCAUUCCAUACCCACGUCCUUACCGGGUAAAAGCCGUCGGAUACUCGGGUACCCGUUGCCAUCUCUCUGUGUGUGUGUGUGUGGGGGGGGGGGGGGGGUUGGGGGGGAGUUAUUUAGAGCAAAGAAUGAAUGUUCAAGUGGGUCUCCCAUUGCCUUCAUGCUCUUGGACACUUAUAUAGGCAAUGAUUAUGUGCAUGAGAUCUUUUGGUGGCGUUGAAUUUUUACAUAACACUACCCUAACUACUAGUUAAGCCUAAAAGAUUUGACCUAUAUACCUAGUGUGAUCCCCUAACAAUAGCUACCUUCCUCAUUAACAAUAGUCUGAAAAGUAACCCAAAAUAUCUAACUUACACCCCUCUAUCAUUAAUUGAAGUAACAUAAAAAGUAGCCUCUAAUAUUUAUCUAAAAUUACGCACAUAUGCUAUUAUGAAAAAGAUACAAAAUAACCACUUAAAUUGCAUCAAAACCGCCAAUACAAUAAAUUUGAAUUACCUACAUUAGUCACUAUAAAAAUUAAAAAAUACUCCAAAAUGUUAUUUUGGAUAUGCUUGAUCUUUCUUUUUAAAAAAAGGAACCUGCCCCAUGUAGCAUAUGCGAACUGCAUGGGGACAGUACUCAUUCAUGGAUGAGUUGGCGAGCUGCCCAGAAACAUAACGAAACAAUCAAGUAACAUGACAAAUCUUUCAUAGAUACAAGCAAAGAUGCCGCUAUUAUCUGGGAGCCUACUACAGUCAGUCUCAUUGAAUUUCACGUUCCGCAGUCAAGCACAGCGAGCAUGGUAUGCAUCAGUCUCAUUGAAUUUCACGUUCCGCAGUCAAGCACAGCGGGCAUGGUAUGCAUUCCAUAAUGCAAGCCGGCCCCUUCAACACCAGACUGCCACUUCAUCAAUGCAUAAGCUCAGGUCUCCUCCUGAUAGCUGCAUAGCAUAGGUUAACAAGACAUCUUAGCCACCACCCUAACAGUAACAAACUCUAAAACUGAUUAGUCCGUUCGCUUUCCCAGAACAUGCACUGCCGCUUUCAGCCAACGCUUCAUUUCGAAGCAGCUUUGCCUAGCCUCCCUGCAAAACGCAUUCAAAGGAAACUUGAGAAGAAAGCUCGCAGAAUGCAGCACGGAAUGAGCCUACGAUCAUCAUCAUCUCUCAAAAAGCAAGGUUUGGAGAGGGAGAACAUACUCGAAUGCUUUCUACCGCGGCAGUAUCUGCUUCCACACAAGCAUUCAAAUGAUUUGACAGGAUGCUUAUCACCAUCAAAAUCAAUACCAUAAUCCUGAAACCAAGAAUGUUCAGUACUAAGUGUUGUCCUGCUGAAGCCCCAGCCCCAAGUAUAACAUCCUAGGCUGAUCCAAUCAACUAAAGAGCAUUGCAUGAAAUAUGCGAAGAAGGAACAGUAGCAAUUAUGUAGUAUUGCAUGAAAAGAGCGAGAGAGACUAGCCUAUUUAGUAGUUACCCAAAAAAAGGUACUAAUUAUGUACUACAACAUUGAGCCAAAAUCGUUGCCAAUCUGUUUUGAUGCAUCCAGGUGGUAUAUUACAAACUAACAGAUCAGCCCAAAAAAACUAAACUUCACAGCACAAGAACCCUAAGUAAUUGAAGAAUGGACAUGAUGCAUGAAAAUUUUAGUAGAGUUACCAUUCGUAAAAACAAAAUUCAGCAAUGACACAGAAAAUAUGACCAACUAGAAGAAAUUUGGCAAUGGUCUGCAAUAAGGAUUAUAUAUUUCACUUUUGAGGGUUAGGGGUUUAGCAUUGCAACCACAUGAAGCAACCCUACAGGCUACAAAACCAUUGCCCACAGGAUAAACAUUAAUUAAAGAAGCCCUGAAUAAAAAAACAGCAAGCACUAAAAAUAUCCUUGAAGUGGCUGCAGUAAUUGAUUUUGAUCGUCGUAUUUGGUUAUUACAAAACCACAAGGCUUACCCACGUGAGCUCCUCAAAUGCCUCCACCUUCUUGGUUGUGAAAAAUGCAAACUGUACUUACAAAAAUAAAUAAAGAAAAAUUAUCAACAUGGCAUUCUUUCAUAGCUGACACAGACUCAUCAAAUUCGGAAGCUAAGAAUAACUUACAUGAUAAUAGUGAUGAUCUGGCGUCUCCACUUCAACAGGGAUCUCAACUAAAUUUGCAUCGUAGCAUCUAGGUAACGUAUUGUUAGAACCAGAAAGAAAAAUGAGGGGGGGUCAAUGGCUCAUAUUUGCUAUCAUUUAUCACAUUUAAAGUAACAUCACAAUGAACAGGUUGAGAAUAAUCAGACAACACCUGUGGUUGAUGAACCUCCCAACAUUCCCACAAAAUGUCGCAUCCAGGCAUAAAGCUUCUUCAUCCUUCAGCACCCCAUCAGGACCCCAACCAGCAUCUAAGAGCACUGAGUACCUAGCACUGUGCAUGUUUUGAGUAGUCAUUUCAUGUAGCUUCGUAUUUGUUAGCAACUCCCCAACAUAUUCACAGACAAAAGCUCCUUUUGGAAGUUCAUCAAGUGUGCGUAGCCCCCACCCCUUCCCUUCCCGUGUUGAAAACACCUUGGUAAAAAGAACAAGAAAGUUAUGGCAAUUCAACUAACCAGCACAAGUAUAACAUGGGGCUGCACUGCACAAGACAAUAAAGCGCACAUGCCACCCCAUUCCAAAAAAAGGGGGAAAACAAAAAAUAAAAGACAGCAUCAGAUAUUACCUGCAGAUUGCAUGUUAUACCACGUUGAACUACACGGUUACCACAUUCCAUGUUACAACCACAUUUACUCCAGCAUUCCUUGAUAAAUUUCCUAACAAUAUGGCCCCUGCAAAGCUCUGGUGAAGGCUCGUUCCUGAUCCUCUCAAGUGGGCAAGAUUUACAGAAGAACAUAUUAUGUUUUUCUGGAAAUCGGUUCAUAGAGACACACUUAUCAAGAAACUCUGUCCUAACCAAUCCAUCUGGUGUAUAUGCAAAUUCACCACCAGUUUUUCUUGCACAGGCACAUGGUUCAGGGGCAUACAAGCAGUUGCCAAAGCAAUCAGAACAACAAUCCUUGUCACCAAUUGUUUCAACAGAGUUAACAUAGGACUCUUGGGAAACAAGAUUUCUUGGUAUAUAAUAAAAGGAAGGUAAACAAUUCUCACUACCAAAUUCGUUUACCGCUGAUAUACUUGAUCUUUCUUGUCCCUUUGAUAUGUCAGAUAAAUCAUGGGUAGACCCAUUGGGAGAUAGUGCCAAAUGGGCCUGCUGAUCAGUAGUUGAAUUUGGUGGGCCAUUCUCUGAAGCUUCCAUAAUCAAUGAUUCUUCUACAGCUUUGCAUUUCCCGCUUCUGCUGUUCAUGCAAUCAAUUGGUUUCAAGGAUGGGGCAGUACUCGUUGUUGGCUUAUUCUGUGAGCUUCCAACAUUGCCAGAAGCAUCUGAUUGUUUAUUAUGUUCUGCAGUAUGAUCACUGCCUAGUUGUGCGACACACUGGCAUAUCUGCUUGAUGAGGCCAGCUAUGGAAAAAUCAGGUGGGAGACUCUUGUGUGAGCGAAGACAUUUUUCCUCAACCAUCUUGAAAACUGCUGCUAAAUCAGGCAUGUGGAAUUUUGAUGGGUCUAUGCUGCAUUUGAUUGACAUCUCAACCUCACCCAUAGCGGAUGAAGCUACAAUAGUGUGUAAACAAGGUGCUUCCUGAGUUUUUCCAGCUGCAGAUCCUGUCCCAGAAUUGUGCAUCACAGUUGCAUAGUCCAACCCAUUUCCCAGACUUUGAGGUUGCUUCAUCAUGCUAUUUAUAGGUUCAACAAAGGAAGUAGACGCCGCACUUCUUCUAUAAUGCUGGGCUGUCCUGCCAUUAGCACCUACACAAGGUUCAGCAGAGUCCAAUCAGAACAAAGGCGUUGGGCGCAGAAACCAAACAGCAAGAAAACACUAAUUCCACAAUCAGACUGAUUGACAAAAAAAAAGAAAAAGAAGAAGAAGAAGAAGUGAUCUUGCAACACAAUAAGACAGUAUAACAAACACUGGAGUUUUAUGGCCUACAAUAUAAGAAAUGUGAAAAACCUCCACAGCACAAAAACUUGAGCAAUAACAGAUUAGGAUGAUGUACGGAACCAACCUGAAAUCUGUAAUGGAGCAUGAACAGGUGGAGUAUCUGAGGUGCUGGCAUUGAGCAGAUGGGAAGUAAUGCAGCCAGGUUGGGCAUUCUGACAGCUGGAUGCAGGGGCAGUGCAUUGUAGAUCAUCAGUAUCAGGUUCAGGUUUAGGCUCCCUCAAGAAGACGGCAUGUUGGAAAUCUUCAUCCAUCAUCUGUAUUGCCCUCUUUUGUGCAGCAUUCCCCAGUGAAGGCACGCCAUCUGCGGUGGGCCGAUGAUAUCGGGUUGAGGCCCCGAUCUGUGGAUGGUUCAGCUCAGACGAAACACCUAUAGGUCCAUCUAGCGCUUGCGCCGCGGAGGCGUGAGACCUGGGAUCAAUAGAGCGACCUGCUGUGACACUAGUAGCGCUGAUCCUGGGCCUCUUGAUGCGAAGGGCCUCGGUCCCACUAUCCAAGUCGCAAGGACCGCCGUGGAUGGCACGGGAAGUAGAAGGCCGGGGCCGGCAGUCCUCCCCCUCCGGAGGAAGCCGAACCCCUCUUGUAGUGUUGCUGUAAUGCUCCUGGUCCCCAUCAUCCUGAACCCCAGCCGCAAGUGACGCGAUGGAAUCGCCAUAAUAAUUAGUAAGAAAUUAAACCCCAAAAAAAAAAGUCUUCUCCAUUCCAUUUGGAUUUGGGAAUGAAGAGUGGACGAAGGAGGAAUACCUGGGGGCGGUCGCGGGCUUCGAGGAUGGCGUUGGCGAGGGCGCGGUAGCCAUCGUCCUCGAUGAGCUCCCAGGAGUUGUCGAAGAGGUGGAGGAGGUUCUUGAGGACGGGGAUGACCUCCUUCUUGGAGCAGCCCAGAGGCUUCAUGGCGUCGAAGGCGCGGCGUGCCCGCUCCCUCCGACUCUGGGAAUCCAUCCGAGCCCUACCGAGAAACCCUACUCUGGUGGGGUAGGGUUUGAGGUGCUCAGUCCUGCAGCAGCCUGCCGGUGCCGCCGGGGGCGGGGGCGGGUGCCGGCGCCGCGGAAACAGAAGAGUGUCACUCGAAUCAGGAAGGGAAUGAUGAAAUCUCCAACUCAAAUAGGCUAGUUCGGUGUUCUUCACCAAAAGGGCGUGGGUUCAAAUUCCACUCUCAACAUAUUUAUUUUAUUUGCUAUAUACACACACAGUGCGUUCUGAAUUUUAAAGUUUAUAUUGCUACACAGUGUCUUCUGAAUUUUUAGGGUUUUUUUUUCCUAUUUUGGUAACACCAGAGUCUUCUGCGUUUAUAUUUUUUUUACACAGAACAACUUCCGUUCUUCUUUUUUUUUUCUAUUUUUUUGUAACAGUCUUCUGAGUUUAUGGUUUUUUAUUUUGGUAGCAGCCUUCUAAGUAUAUAUAUUCACAGAACAACUUCUAUUUUUCAGUUUUUUCCUAUUUUUGUGACACAUAGAUAGUAUUGUGAGUUUUUUUUUUUUACUUUUCUAUGUAAGAGCAACCAACUCUAACAUGGUGUUUGGUUGGUAGCGGUAUUUGAUUUGAUUUGAUUACAGUAGCAUUUGAUAACGUUUGGAUUGUGUUUGUUUUGCAUCUAUAGUAAACACGUCACGCAUGCCAUAAAGCGGUACGGCAUAGUAGAAAUCUAAUCUAUGGCAUCUCCGGGCAGCUGAUAGAAGCCAAGGCGGGCCUGUUGGCGUGGCCGACGAUUGCCCAUUGACCAAUGGCCAUGGUACUGGUACUGUAUAUGCAUGGCUGUCUGAAGAUGCUGCUAGCUGUGAGAUCCUGAAGAUCGUGCAAGGGCCGUCCGAGGAGAGGAGUCACGGCAUCAAGGAAGGGUCGUCAUUUGGAGGAAUAGGGAAUGGGAAUAGCGAUCGAGCGGCAUGCUGCUAUCUAUAGCUAGCGCUAGCGAGAUGUAUGGUGAAAUACAUCACUUCCUAUUUUGGCUCACCAGAUACAACAAACAUAGCACGUCGCCGGUCUCUAUUCGUGCCCGUCGAGCGCCUGGUAUACUGGUUCGCUUUGGUGGCGCUGUAGCCUCACUCACUCUCCAAUCCAUCUCAAGCUAGAAGCAUGCAUUACCCCUCCUGAGAAGCAGUAGAUGCACACGAGCAAGAUGAAUUCCUCUUUUUUUAGAAACCGGGUGAUCACCAGCUCCAUACGAUCGCUGGGUAAAAGAUUCGACUACAUGCAUAUAUACACAAACGGAAGGGGAUUCGUCAAAAGCUUCAACUUCAUUCUGAACAAUCGUUUCGUAGCUGCAAGGAUUACAACACCAAUUUAUCACCUUAGCACCCAUGACCAUCAGCCUGCCUACAGUUGCAAUACCAUUUGGACUUGCUGUGGCCUCAACCUAAUAAAUAUCAAACAACACAUGUGGCAAAUAAAUUUCCUCAAAAACUUGCAAGGAAUGGUACCAAACCAUGUAGUGAUCAGAGGACUUACUUAAAUAUACCAUAUCAUUCCAUCAGCGCCUGCAUUCAGGAGUAGCAUCAGCUUUUUCUUUCUCUCUAGUUAACUAUAUACUGUGACAAGAGUCCAAUCUGCAAGUUUGGCCCUCAUAUACCCUCUCCUCUUUUCCAUGCCCCCGAACCGUUUGGAUGGCUGGCUACAUGGAUCCAUAUCCCUCAGAUUCAGAUCAAAAGGUCUACCAUGUUCCUGCAGUACCCUUUUGAUGUAUACUAAACAACUUAGAUUACUUCCUGUCAUGACUUACUUUGAAAAAGGCCGAAUGCGUUACACUUUGUACAUUAAGCUCCAUGGUAUACAAAUACAUCCUCUAUGUUCAACGUGCAAGAAAUGUCACACUCGAUCACCCUAUCUCAAGAGAGCACUUCACCCAGGAGAGAGAAAGUUUUUAGCAUGGCCUCCAUAACUUCAAAUUUUCUCCAUGCAGAAUAGAAUAGAUCAAUCUGUGGUUUCUUCAACUUUGCUCAAUCCAUAUUCUUGGAUGCCUGCCUCAUCCAAUCUAUUUCCCAGCAGCCUCGUGAGAACUUACUGAGAAAGGAGCCAUAGUUAGCUUGUUAUCUUACAUUAAUACCUUAAAAUAGUGUUGCAGUUCAAGCCAAAGCAAAAAUUUGAAGUUAUGGAGAAAAUUAACAGCAUGAUAAUAGUAACACCACAGACAAACUCCUACAAGUACCACAAGUGACAGCUAAUUUAUAACAGAAUGUUGCCAAAGAUUUGCAAAUACCUUGAAAAAGAUGAAUGCAUACAGCAGCAAGUGUUUGAAUGAUUUUGCUGCUAUAAAUCAAGUUGAACCAUGAGGUGGGAAGACGAAAUUGGCCAACACAAGCUAGUGUUGAUGGAGGGCAUGAGCCCAGAUAUUUUGUGUGUAAGAAUAUCACACUUCCCCAAGAGCUAACUGCAGAACGUAAUACAUGAUAAGUUAUCCUUAUAAUGCACAGAACUUUAGCUAAACUUGGAGGACGAGAUACAAGAACAGCAUGCUUCUGGCUAACAAAGUAGCACUAGUAAGAUUUGAGCUCAUAGAUCACUAAAAUUGCAAAUGGACUGUAUACCUGCGUGGACUACAUGCAACUGCAAAGCUCACAAAUGUAUACAAGUAAACCGGUAUAAUGGAAAUGGAUAUUUAUGUGCAACCAUCUGAAUAUAUAUUUUUUUUAUAUAGGAAACAUUAAUCCUUUUCUUUUAUGUGUAAAAAGAGCUUAAAGUCUCAAGAGCUGGUGUACCAAACCUUAGUAGACUGAAACCAUGCUGCUGAACCACAUUCAUGUUUCAGUGUUCUGAAUGGACCACUCAUGGAAACCUCAGCUUUAAACUCUGUCCCGGACAAGUCAAGGUCAUGGAGUUCGAAGUGCUCACUUGCUUUCCCAUUAGGCAUAAACUUACCAUUUGGUACUCCAAAAACUUCAUGUAUAUCCUUUGCCUCACCUGCAUAGUUUCAAAAUUAUGAGUAUUAUGGGCACACAAACAAAUGGAAGGAGGUCAUGGUAUGCCCAAAACCAUAAACCACAAGGCACAAAUGUGGCUAGUGGUAAGCAAGCAGGUAGUGAACCUGGUUUUGUGGCCAUAAUAAAUCCAUCCAAUCUCUUAGUUAGUAACGAUGUUCCAGGAAACAACAUCAAGUUUACAUUAUGAAGUUGUUUCCUUUCAGCAUCUUCGAUAGGUUUGAAGCCAAAUCCUGACACCCAUGUGCUAACCAACUCUGGGAUGGCAGAAAGGACCAACAUCUUAACAUUAAAUGAACAGAGCAUCUGCAGUACAGGAAAUGAGGAAAUUCACAUAGUGAUAUGGAGAUAAAAGUUAUUAGCAGUAACAUAAAAAAUAAUAUUGGUUCAAUAAGAAAUCAGGCAUUAGCAAAGAAUGGAUCCGAUAGCUAGAUGGGAGGAAAAUCAUAUCUUAACAUUUACACACAGCUGAAUUCCAAGUUAAUGCAAUACGCGAUAAUGGGAAACCAUAACUUGUUUCAGUACUGCUGUACAGUUUUGUACUUUUGUCUGAUUUCCUAUUUCAGUGUACCUUUUCAAUGAUGUUCAUUAGAAUUCGGCACAUUCCUUGCCGUCGAUAGUCUACAGAAGUAGCAAUAAAAGGCAGCUCAGCGGCUUUAGUCCCAUGUACUCUGCAUGAGAAAAAAAAUAAAGAUUUAGUUAUAAACAAAAUUUUUCUCGAAUACACAAUGAAAAUGGAAGAAACAGAUAAUUAUUUUUUAUUAUUAUUGUUUAUGGUUCUCUCAUUAUGUUAUUCUAUACUAUAUGGAAUUCUUUUUGAAAGUAACAUGGCAUAUGCUGAAAAUAUGCAUGCUUUAGUUGUAAAAGAAUAUAGCACACAUAAAUUCAUUAAAAGAAAACUUCAGACAGAAAAGUAGGUUCAAUUUCUAACAAAGACCUGACUAAAAACAAUUUACCUGAUAGAAGCCACACAUAAAAUUUCAUCACCUUUCUCCAGGAUUACAGUAUAGAAUCCCUGAUAAUCCACACGAGCAAAGUUUGAUCUGAUAAGAAGUGAACCAUGUAAGUACAUCUUGAAAUUACUUAGUAAUAUAUAUAUAUAUAUAUAUAUAAAUAUAUAUAUAUAUAUACAAGUGCUAUUCUACACCCUAGGUGUAGAAUACUAUUCUACACCAAAUUGGCAAAUUAUAUACUGAACAAAAUUCAGUAUCGUUCAGUACUUAUGUUUCAGUAUUUGUUCAGUAUUUUAUGGUCUUUGGUGUAGUAGUAAGUGAUACUGAACGCGGUUCAGUAGUACUCAGUAUUUUUUCUGCUCAGUUUUGACUUGCGGUGUAGAAUAAUAUUCUACACCUAGGGUGUAGAAUAGCACUACCGUAGGUGUAGAAUAUUAUUCUACACCGCAAGUCAAAACUGAGCAGAAAAAAUACUGAGCAAUACUGAACAACGUUCAGUAUCAUCCAGUCUUACACCCAGGAUCACGAAAUACUGAAUAAUACUGAAACACGGGUACUGAACAAUAUUGAAUUUUGUUCAGUAUAACACUUUGGUGUAGAAUAGUAUUCUACACCUAGGGUGUAGAAUAGCACUUAUAUAUAUAUAUUCAUACAUUUUCAAGUUUCUUCUAUAAUAUCAAAGAGAGAACCCUAUAUGAAUUGAAGUAGAUUUGAAAAGAAAGGGUAUAAUAAAACUAGUUAAGCAUCCAGCUGAUUAACAGAACAUCCCAAAGAUUGUAUCUUCUGUAUUUAGCAUAACAGCAAUUUUGUCAGUUCAACUUUCCAGUAAAACAUAAAGAGAUCAAUCCCCAUAGUACCAUUGUUCAUUCUUAGACACACACACAAACAUGUAUCAUUUUGACUUGUGCUUCGACAAAUCAGACCAGAAAAAUAUAAAGUGAAAAAGAAUAUGUAAUGAAAUAAUGGAUAAAUUAAAAUCCUAAGGAUAAGGAAUGAAGGAAACUUACCCCUUGUUGUAUAAAACAUGGGGUAUCAUGUCCACACCAGUUCUAGGAUCCACCAUACGAAUGAAACAUUCCUCUAAUAGAGUAAGAGCCACUGCUAAUUUCAUAUUACAUUCUGCCAGACAGGCAAUCUUCUGAACAGAGUGUAGCUUCUGCCCGUCAUUGUUGCAUCUCAAUAUGGACCAUGAAAGCUCACUGUCAAGAAUAUUCUCUGUCCCGACAUGACUACGCAACCCUAUGAAUAUCUAUUAGCAGCAAGGGUAGAAAAACACAUUAAUAGGAAAGAAAGAGAAGAAUGAGGAAAAAAAUUAUUUGGAACCAGGACACAGAGUAUGUUAGGUGCACAAAGCAGUAGUUAACAUAAAUGUUGUCUAGUGCUGCAUGGAGUGCUGAUUGCUUCUAACCUAAAUAGCCAUAAAUAGUGACAUCCAAUUUUGAGGAUUGAAAAAACUAGCGAUCCAAGAGGUUAACCAAAUUUAAUCUCGGAAGGUUUGAUUUUGUGAACCACGCAGUGUAGAUGUACUAGUAUCAGGUGGUCACUGGUGCUAGAUCCUAAGCAUUCAAACAUAUGAAUCCAUUAUAUCUAUGAGACUAUGACGAGGAAUGAGGGUGACGCAAAUUACAAUUUCUGCAGGUAUGAUAAAAACACAAAUGGACAAUGUUCACUAAAGCAUCUUGCAACUUUCAACAUCAUCUCAACAAACUAAGUUAAAUAAGUGUUACCUCUUUACAAUAUUUCCCACAAAACCAUGUCUGAGAUAUUUGAUCCUCAAGAGGUAGCUUCUCUUGUUCAAUGCAAGUGUCAUGGUCUGCCAAUGGAAACAAAACUAUUCAAAUUGAAGUUACAGAUAAGAACAUUGGAAUAAUUUAUCUUCUGCAAUGCAUAAUCAAGAACUGAAGAGUGGCUAAGUUAAAUAAGGCAUGAUUAAACCACUCUAUGGAUUUUAUCAUUUUAUUCCUGGGCCUUGCAAGAAAUUAUGGUUCAGCUCAAAGCUGCUAGAAGCUUGAUAGGAAGUCAAUAGAGCACAGCUAGAGGGGAUCUUAUUUGAAGCAUAAGCUCUUUUACACUGAAAAUUUGAAGCCUCCUUGAAGCAGUUCCUGUGAGAGUUGAAAAAUCAAAUUCUAGAAGGAGCUACAUUUUUACCAAAUGGGGCUUUUUAGAUCAAAACAAGCUAAUGAAAUUGCUUCAUAAAUGAAAUAAUGACUAUUGAAGUUAGGCAGCAAAGUUAACAUAAACUAACCCACCAACUUUCUGCUAUGGCACUGCUAAGCAUCAUAAGGCAAUAGCACAGUAGGGGAAAUGGUGAAAAUUUCAAGAAAAAGUGGAGGGAAGAUAAGGUUUUACAUGCAUCUCCGCAUUGGAAACAUUUGAAAAUAGCCGAGAAUGUCGAAACCUCCUUUUCACUAACUGGUCCUCCACAUAUCUGACAAGUGCAAUUAUGACAGUACCAACUACCUUCUGGAAGCUCCUGCAUAUGUAAAGGAAUAAGCAAAAUUAAUUAAGUAGGAAACAAUUUCACAUAUAGAAUAAGUAUUGAUUCAUUUAAUAUCAUAUCAACUAUCAAGCUAUUGACACACAUUCUGGAACAAAGCAUUGCAACGUUAAGGACAGCAACCUCAGAAUGAAAUGUAUCUUUAAGCAAUGUACACAUAACGGCACCAUGAAAAACUGGAUAAUAGAUACCUUAGCAGACAAGCAAGCUGGAUGAUAUGUUGAUGGGCAAUUGUCACAGCAAAGUAAUUCACCACCAUCUCCACAGAAACCACAGGUGUCAUCACUUUCAUCUAUUGCCUCAACUUUUCUACCCCAUGCAUUGCUUCUCCUGCUCAUAAAUUCAGCAGACCAAGCCUCAACCUGGCACAAGGUGUAUGACUUGCCAGACUCUAGAAAGAGGCCCAAUGAGGACUGUGGGUGACUAAAACCAGCAUGAGCCAUAAAACCAGACACAGAUAAGGUUUUUUUGCAGCAAUUGCAAACAACACCUUCCCAGGUAACCAGCCCAUCCUUUAUAACUUCAUUACUUUUUGGAUCCCGGUACUGUAUCACAUCUUUUACGGUCAGAAAGCCAGUCGCAAGCAACCAGCAGAUUACAGUUUUGCGGGCCAAACUUACUCUCUUUCCACCCAAUAGGUUUGUGCCAGCUUUCCCGAUUUUGGAAAUUAGCUUGUUGCCUUUUUUGUGGCUCUUCAGCUUCUUGAACUUCUUUGCAGCUGAAAAGCCUGAAGCAAAUUUAUGGCAGGUGCCAAGAUCCUUGUUUUUCACUAUAGCUGUGAUCAAAAGGUCCUCAUCAUUGAUCCGCAACUCACGAGGUCUUUUCUUCAUGUACUUCAACCAACCCUUUGGUUUCAUUUUGGCAGUGCCUCUCUUGCAGAUUUGUGAGUCACAUGCUAGAUAAGUUCCCAGAACAUCAGCACUAGAUUCAUGGGAUAACUCAACGGGUACAGUAUUUCCUGUUGGAUCACUUUGUGAAUCCUCAUAAAAUUCUCCAUGGGAUGGGAGUAUCUUUUUCCAGACCUUGUCAUCAUGGCAGAACGCUGUGGCAUCUGACUGUGACUCCCUUGUAGUACAGUGAGUUUCUGGGAAUGUAUUGUAAUCCUUAAGUUGCUUGCUCACUGAAGAGAGGAGCAUGUCACACUUCCUGCCUUGGUCAUCUUUAUCUAGCUUUUCUGAUUUUGUUUCAGCUUUCAUAUCGUCUUUUAGUGUUCCAAAACCUGAACACAUACCGUGUUCCUCAAAGGCAUUGGUGUUUCCUGGGUCAGCCAUGUCCAUGGUUGCUACAUUGGUCCCAUCCAGUCCAGCUGAGCUAAUAUCAAAUGUUUUUUUCGAUUUCUUCCUUGACUUUUUUACAGAGCUAUUAAGAGCAUUUGGUUGAGCACAAGUUUGCCGUCCAUCAUCACUUGCAUCAAUGUGAUGUUUCGUCUGGUCACUUGCAUCAAUGUGAUGUUUUGUCUGGUCAGUUGCAUUGUAAUUCAGACUCUCGUUGCAGGAAAGCUUUGGGUUCGUAUCCCUAUCGUUGCUGUCUUCCACAUCAUGACAGCUUUGUAAAGACUGAUGCCCAUUGUAGCUCUCAGUUGCAAGUGUGCUGCAAUCAGAGUCUGUGAUCAGUGGAGUCAGCUGAAUCAUUCGGCUUGCCAAAAGCUCACUGGCUUUGUGCAUGGUCUUACUUUCCAAUGACAUAUCUGAGCUGCCAUCAAGAACAAAGGUUGAACUGUCGACAGCUCUCAGAGUUUUAUGUUGCUGCAGAGCAGUGAUUUUCCUACUGAUGAACACAACAGCUACAAAAGGAUCCAAAAUCUGCCAGCGCUGCAGAAGCGUGAGUGCAUUUUGCUGGUUCGCAAGCAUCCUAUCAACAUAGGCCAUUGUAUCUGUGAGAUCCUUCCAAAACGCAUCAACAUCUGACCACUCCUUUGGAUACUUUCCCCUUUCUGAAUCUGGGGAAGCUUCAUAUAAUUUGUUGCCACAAAACUUCCAAGCCUGGGUUAGUGAGGUAUGAACCGCUUCCCUGUUUGGAGCUGUGAAAUAGGAUGCCAUCUUAGCCCUGUCAUUCCUUUUACGUGGCUUAAUAGUCCAUCCAGAAUCCUUAAAAAGACGAUGUGCAUGUGCUUCCAGCUGGUCAGGAAUAUCCCUGCCCAGUGCCUUCUUGGAAACAGCAGCUGCCGAGCCAGAGUGUACUGCGCUGCCGCUUCCAUGAACAUCAAUUUCAUCCAGGCAACUAAUAUUCGCAUCAGGGGUGCCAUUCUGGCAAAUGGUGCCAUCGAGCUGGGUGAACUGACCAGGGCUGAACCAAAACUGGGACUGCUGAGGUAUUGUCGGAGUACUAUGAGCUUCUUCACUAUAAAACAGAUGCUGCUCUACUCCCCCUCUGUCAGAGAAAUCCUUUGUACUUGCACAUAGGGGAUAAGUGGUGUCAUCCAUCUGGCCUUGAUCAUAAGCGAAGCACGCAUUGCUAGGGAAUUGCUGCUGAUCCUGGAGCCACUGAUGCAAAAAGGGAUCUGAAAGGAGAGUGGAACUCUGGAAUUCAGAAAUCUCCGCUAGCGCUUCUAUGUAGGAAGGCAUGGGGUCAUCGACCGCGCUAGUGCUGCUGCUGCAACCCAGCCCGAGUGUGUUGCACAUCCCAGCCCCAACAUCUUGCGUGUGCACAUCCAAAAUGCUGUGAGCAGCAUCUGAGCCGAUGAAUUGGUUUUGGUCAUCUGAGAGGCCGAAUUGGUGUUGGUCAUCGGAGAGGCCGAGCGGAUGAGUGGCACACUUAUCCCCAGGCUGCCAGGAACCCAUGAAUCCCUGCAGAAAGGCAGCAGCGUCCAGGUCGGUCCCGUUUUGCUGCGCACGAGGGUGCGCGUGCUCCUGAACCUGGAGAUGAAGGUCGUGGUGAGGCCCAUUGUUUGGCUGACGACUAUGAUCCAUUGUAUGGUGUGGAUCAGCAGUGGCAGCGGCAGGCUGGUGCUGCGCAUGGGAGGGAAAGGGAAAGGGAAAGGUCGAGGUCUCCGUGGGCUUGAGGUGGGCGGCGGCGGUGUGGACGAAUCCAAGGUCCAUCUCGGCGGGCAGAUGGGUGGUGGCGGCGGCACCGCAGAAGACCUCCUUGAAAACCUGAAGCUCCAAGAGCGAUCUGUCGAAGGCGCCGUGGUCCUCCAUUCCCAUGAUGUCCUCGCCGAAGAUGAAGCGCAUGGCGUCGUCCUCCUUGAAGCCCAGCAUGUCGUCGGCGUGGCCUCCCCCGGCGGCCAUGCUAGUGGCUAGCAGCAGCUGUGAGCCUGCAGAGUUGAAUUGGAGAGCGGAGUGAGCAGCUAAAGCUUGGUCGGUGAUCCCCCCGCGGGGGAAGAAGAAGAAGAGUGUGAGAUCCAGCCAUUCCAGUACCUGAGCCUGAACGAAAUGGGCGGUCGACGGUCGGGUCGGGGAGGCAGCGGGAGCAGGAGCGGAAUGGGGCGGUCGGAUCCAGAUGGGCAGCAGCUGAGUCUCGAGUGGCCUGUGCUGGAUGGAGAGAAUCGUGGUGGGGAGGAGGAGCGGGGCGGAGCAAAUCGGGGGCGAGAUCCGAGGCGAAGAGGGGAAGCGGCCUGCUGCCCUCUGCCUUCCUGUCAAGGUUUGGGCGCCCCGCCCCGGCGAGACCGAGGAGAAGAGAGGGCCGGGGACGGCGGCUUGGCUUGGCGCCGGCGCGGGGCGGGCGUGUGGGUGGAAGUGAAGCAGAAGCAACGGCGGCCCGCAGUGAAGUGAAGCUCGGGAGGUCAAGACUCGAGAGAGAGCUCGCCUUCGCUUGCCUUCCCUUCCCUUCCCUUCCCUUCCCUAGGCAAGGCUGCAAGUUGCGUUUGUUCCGUGAUGAGUGAAGCCGAUGAUGCGAUGCGUUGACAGGCAGCGGCAGGACACACAUGACAUUUUUUUAAUUAAAAAAAAACGCCAAAGGGGGGCGCGGCAUCUGGCCCUCCUGCUCGUUUGAAUCAUUUUGCCUCCAAAACCAAACACCCAAAUACAACGCUGCCGCUGCCAUAGGCCAGAGCAAGACGAGUUUAUGCAUGCAUGCAUACUCGAUUUGUCCUUUUCUUUUAUCAUCAAUCCAGGAGAAGACUAUAUGGCUUCAAUUUUUCUUUUAUCUGUUCGCUUGAGUUUACUUAUCGAAUAUGUUAGUUAUUCAGCAUUGUUUUUUCACAAUAGAUCAACAAAUAGUACUUUCAGCCAUAACUUUUCAACGAAGCAUCCAAGCGAAUGUCAAUACUAAUUAAGGCUCCAUUUGAUUUGAUCAGCUAUUUUUUAUAAACUAGAACAAUGGCUGAAGUAGUAUAAGUUUGGUGGUUUAUAUAAUAAUAGUUUAAAAUACUCAAUCUAUUUUAAAUUGCAAGAUGUUUUAACUUCUCUUGUUACAUAGGUUUUGUCAUACCACCGUUCGCUUAUCUUAUCAGCCAUACUUUUUCUGCCAGCCAACAGUGUUUUUCUCUUACGAUAAAUCAGCAAAUAAUGUUUUUAGUCAUGACUUUUUAGACCAGCGAACAGGUUUAGAAUGGAGGGAAUAGGUUAUAGGCUGAAAUAUAAGGUAAGAUGUUGGAAUUAGCUAGAGCCUUUUUAGCCGUUAGCAAUUUAUGAAAAAAACUUAUUUUAGUCGGUACAUAUAUCUAUUACCUAUUUAUAAAAGGAGAAAAUUUCAGUUUGCCAAUUCUUUUUCUGCCUCCCUAUCCGAUGUCCGCUUCCGGUACUUGUAGAGGAGAAAAAAAAAAGAAUAGAAACUUUUCUAGGUUCCCAAUACAAAAUCUCCUACACACUAGAGUAUAUUAAAAAUAAAGAAAGUACAGGGGGUCUAAGUGCAAAUUUAUCAGCCAAUCUAACCAGCCGCAUCAGCCCGUACAUAGACUUCUAGAAGAGGAAGAAAAAAGAAUAGAAAUUUUUCUAGGGUUCCUAAUGCAAAAUCUCCUAUAAAAAUUAAUAAAUAUAUAGUAAUUCAUAGAAAAAUCUAAAAAUUACAAAACAAAUUUUUUUCAGCUCCACAUAUUUAGAUCCAUAUAGUAAACAAAAAUAUCACAAAUUUUAGUAUACUUUUUUUUGCUGGUAGAUGCUUGCCUAUGUUUUUUAGUAUAUAAAACUAAAAUUGUAGUUAUCUUGCUCUAAUUAUUAUGAAAAUUUUAUAAUAGUCUAUUUAAUGUGAUACUUGAUUUGUGGUAAAAGUUUUAACACAAUUCCUUUAUAUCUCACUGAUUUACUAAUUUAACUAAAUUAAUGCUUGAGGAUGCUUCCACUACCUUUGCAUGGUGUGCUGUUAUGUCAUAUGAACACUUUAUAAGUCCAUGUUUUUAUAAUCUACAUACAUUUAACCCAUGUGUUUAUAAUCUACAUACAUUUAACUGAUAUAUCAUAUUUUAUAGAAAUCCUAAUCUAAAUAAAAAAAUAAAGCUACCAACAAACUUCUCAUGUUUUAAUAUAAUAUUAAGAUAUAUUAAGAGGUAAUAUUAAAGUAAGAGAAGGUUUGACUAAUUUCUAUUUUUUAUUAUUAAAUAAAUAUGUCUCCAAGCUACAUAUUAUUUUAAAUAUUAACUAUCUAAUAUUAUAGAUGUCAUGGUUAUCAAUAAAAUAAAUUAUGGACUUUAAAUUUCAUAAAAACAUAACUAUAAAUAGAAUGUAAUAUUAUGUCAUAACUUUCUAUGGUCAUUUGAUGCUUUUCUCCGGUUGCAACGCACAAUAAAAAUCAAUCUCAAAAUUUACAUAGACUUCAGCUUACUAAUAAAAGGUAUAUUGUUAGCUUCUUGUCUUUUCACGAACAAUGCACAAAUUGACAGAAACUUAUACAAUCUAUAUAAAAUCAAAAUCAAAUCUACAAAUUAUAAUUCAAAAGUUUAUUAGGAUCCUUUCAACCAGAGAGUAUAAGGUGCCAUUGCGCGUGAAAUAAAAAUCCUAAAAAGUCUAAGAGCAUGUAUAUAAACUAUAUAUAUGGACAGUCUCCUUCAAAGUCAGUUUUAAAAGCUUAAAAAUUAUCAAAUUUAAUACAAAGGAUAAAACAUAAAUAAAUAUAACAAAGUGCUCAUUUUCUACAAUUAUCAAUUUGCUCCCGUAGCAACGCACGGGCAUAUUUUGCUAGUAUAUAACCUAAGCCUAGACGGCGUCAAUAUACGCGUUGUCAACUAUUACUAAGACACCCCAUCCAAAUGGGGAAGAAAAUACUACACAAGAACAGGUACUAGUGUCACGGUAAUGCUUGUUAAAAGAAAAAAUUGGCCUUCAAAUGCCGUUAUUUAUUAUUCAUUAACGAGUAUGAAUCUACAGUUUGAUGCUUUCUAGGGUUCUUACGGUUUGAUACUUGUCCGGGCCUAAUAAUAAACAAACUCCUAGUCCUAGAAAAAGGAAUUAACGCAAGUUAAAAAAAAGGAAUUAACGCAUGGGAAGCCCAAUGGGUGUAUGGAUGGUGCAGCCCAGCGGAAUUAGAAAAUUUGCUCGCGAAGCGCGAGAGAAAGGCCUGCUAGAUUGGGCCCAGCGUUAUCACAGUGGGCCGGAUUUUGGAUUUAGGCAGGCCGUGGGUGGGGCUUUGCUUUGGGAAUUUUUCACAGGCAGCGAGGGAGCGAGUCUAGCCAAAAAAAAAAAAAAAUCUACUUUUUCUCUCCCAACUUUAACGAAAGUCCGUUUUUUCUCUCUCUAUUUUAAAACCAGACAAACUACCUCCCUUGACUUUUCAAAUCAUGCAUUUUACCUCCCUGAAACGGUUUCGAAGGCAGUUGCUACAGUGAAUAAUGGUUUUAUCUUUUUAUUUUUUUAAUUAUUUCGGUUGGAUCUUUGAAAAAUCAUAGUAAAUAAAAAAACAUAAAAUAGAAAAUCUAAUUUUGUUGAACUCUACAUAAGUAUAUCUACACAAUGAAUAUAUAAUAUGAUAUGCUUUAUUACAAAAUUUUUGCUAUAAAGGUUUUGUAUUUUCCUUUUUUAUUUAUUUCGGCUAAAUAUUGAAAAAUUAUAGUAAAUUACAGAAAAAUCAUAAAAUAUAAAAUCUAAUUUUGUUAGACUCCACAUGAGCAUAUGUACAUAGUAAAUAUAUAAUAUGGUAUAUUAGUAUAUAUUAGUAUAUAAAAUCUAAUUUUGUGUAAAUUAUAUAGAUAAUGACAAUUGUCGUUAUACCGACCGAUUCACAAAUUGUUGUUAUAUUAGUAUAUCUAUAACGAUACACAUAUGACGUUAUAUUUAACGACACUUGCACCGUCAGUCAGCUAUACCGACCAAUAGUUCAAUGGUAUUAGUAUAUCUAUAACGACACACAUGUGACGCUACACUAGUGUUGUAGUGUAGUGUUAUGGGAGAUAAAUGUGACUUUUUGUGAUAGUUGGGGAAUGUAAAGUGGACCUUUUCUAUUUAUUAUUUUUAUUCUAUCUACUUGCUGAUUACUGAGGCCGUCCCUAACGAGCUGACAAUGUCACCGGCUAACGUCAACAUGCCGUCCAUGCGUGAUGCGUCUUAGAUGAAGAUGCUACCAAAAAUCGACUCGCUAGCGAUCGAGAAAUCGCUAGACUCAGUCGCUUUCCAAAAUGCUUAAGGUCCCAGCUCUUCCAAACAUGCUAAAACCCACAAAGUGCUACAAGCUUUUUGAUUUUUUUACCCUUUCUCAGCGCCACGUCAGCCAAUGAUUUCUUUGACCCGUUCCGGACGUGCAGCUUGGUGCUUACAUAAGAGCCAAGCUAUCAUCUCUCUCAUCUCUUCUCUCCUCCACAUCAGCAUUAGCUUUGUUAUAAGCUUAUUAUUGUACCUGCUCUCAUGAGUCCUGAGGGGCAGGUAGCCCUAGGCCUUGUUUAGUUCACACCA
rnacentral:lncRNA from 1 species